UGAUCCAACGUCUUGGUCCUACAAAGGAGGUGAUAGCGCAGCGAACUAGGCAAUCAGACUAUGAUGCUUUAUCACUUUCACUUAGCCAUAGGAGUUUGACAGUGAGGCUACUUAUAUAGCCCCUGGUGGCACCUGCGCUCGCCCGAACUCAGGGCGCAUAUGUGCCUGGCCGGGAAGCGGCCCUUCGUUAAUGCAGAGGAAUCCUUAAGAUUCCGGUAAGUCAUCGAGUGGUUGACCAGUCUCACGCUAUAUCAUGACAGUCAGUUUUCGGCUUUCUCUACUGAGGUGCUCGCCUGGCCGAACCGGGGCACAAUCGCAGUAGUUCUCCUGGUGCCGCCUUAGCCGAUAGAGCGGAACGUAAGGUAGCAAAACACAGGAGCCGGGCAAACCCAACAUUUGACCAAAGACAUGAUUCAGAGCUGAUGCAUAUAAGGCCAAACUCGCGACACCGAACACUCCCUAAGGUAUUCGGUCUUUAUGAGGGAGGGCGGGAUAACGCCCUUAGUAAUAAGCCCCUAGUGUCCAGGUACGCGCAAAACUCUGACGUGGCCACAUGCCAAAACGCCAGCCUCCUCCUUGGUUAUACCAAGAAACCAGGGGAUGUGUAUCAACAAGAGACAGUAAAAAAAGGUUUACGCGGGGUCUUAAUCUGAAAAGAAUCCUUGGAACGGGUCCCUGCUACACAUCUGCGCAUGUGUCUCCGUUGUGCCGUAUCCUGGACGGGCGUAGCAUAGUGUUCAUCUAUAAAAGAGAGGGACUUAGUUGAAGAAAGAUCGUGUCGAACAUGAGUUAUACUAAAUAAACAAAGUAUAAAUCGAAAUGGGUAAAAUUGAGCUUUAUUGUCUCUUGUUUUAUAUGCGCGGAGCCCCUAGUAUAGGGGUAUACGACUAUUAAGCCUUUAUCAAUUGUAUGUUUAUGCCGGACUCGUCUAGCCGUGUCCGUGGUCUUGAUGACCUGUUUAGGUGCUUUGGCUGGUGAAGCCGCUUUAUUGUGGGGCUGUCAAGGCAGCCGCACUAUCUUCCGCGCGGGAGGAACACUCAAUGUUUUCCCUUUAAUGAGAUGAUGCCUCGUGGACCGGGCAUCUUAAGUGUAAGAGAUGCAUAAUGCGGUAUUGCGUUAAAGCGGGCGAAAGCUUCACGUCCCAGCAGUGCUUGAUAGCUACUUGAGAAUGGGGCGAUGUGGAAAGUUAGUUGUUCGCGACGGAAGUUAUUGGGGGAGCCAAACAUAACUUCUAGCCGGAGAGAACCCAUGCAAUGGGCAUCCGGGCCUGGCGUUACCCCUUGAAAGGAGGUUUUGCUAUGGCGAAUUUUUGUUGGGUCUAUCCCUAUGUUGCGGAUUGUGUCCUGGUAUAACAGGUUUAGACCACUGCCACCGUCCAUCAGGACAUUUGUAAAGUGGAGUCCGCCGAUUAUUGGAUCUAAUACCAAGGCAGUCCAGCCUGCGUUCCUGAUACUUCUAGAGUAAUCCUGAUGGUCGAAGGUGAUCGGUUUUAACAACCAUUGGCGAGACUCCUUUGGGAUAGGCCGUAUGGCGCGUAUCUUUGUUGGCGCCAUUGUGUUCGUCACGUGAAGUAAGUUUACUGUUUUGACUUCUUGUGGGAAAUCCUUUUGUUUCCUGGUGCUCUGCUUGUGGGGUUCGUCGUCGUCCUCACUUGGUGUGUCGAGCCCCUUGUGUUCGGCGUUGAGUUUGCCGGAUUUCUUGAAAACCCAACAAUCUCUAUGGGUAUGGUUCGCAGGCUUCCCGGGAGUACUGUGUAUUUGGCAUAUCUUGUCCAAGAUUUUGUUUAAGUUGGAUAGCUCGUCCCUGUUAUCCUUGAGGGGCGGCUUUCUCUGAUUCUUCCGCGAGCUUUUGAAUCCGGCGUUGACCGCCGUGCUCUUUGGGUUGUUUCCCUUAUUUCGGCGCUGGUCCUUGCUGCGUCGGGGUUUUCUGUUUCCAUCCCUAACUUUGGAUGUACUUGGGUCGCUGGUGCUACAUCUUGCCAACCAGCUGUCCUCUCCUGCGCAAAAGUGGGUCAUGAGGCUUGUUAAUGCAUCCAUUGUUCUUGGCUUUCCUUGGCCGAGGUGUCUGGCGAGCCAUUCGUCUCGAACGUUAUGCUUAAAAGCUGCUAGGGCUUCGGCGUCCGGACAGUCGACUAUCUGAUUCUUUUUAGUAAGAAAUAUCUUCCAGAAUUUCCGGGCUGACUCUCCGGGCUGUUGAGUUAUGUGACUGAGAUCGUCUGCAUCCGGAGGGCGGACAUAGGUCCCUUGAAAAUUUGCCCAGAAAGCAUCCUCAAGCUCUUCCCAACUUCCAAUGGUGUUUUCGGGAAGGCUUUUGAGCCAAUGCCGGGCUGGCCCUUGAAGCUUGAGGGGUAAGUAUUUUAUGGCGUGGAGGUCAUCUCCUCUAGCCAUGUGUAUGUGGAGGAUAUAAUCCUUGUUUCGUCGUAUGCCUCUAUGUUUACGGGCUCGAAUCCCGCUGGAAAUUCAUGGUCCAGCACCUCAUCGGUGAAACAUAGGGGGUGUGCGGCACCCCUGUAUUUGGGUGUGCCGUGAUGUUUGGAUAUUUGUUGUGUUGCGUUGCUUACUAGAGCUUGCUUUCUUGGCCCGUAGAUAGAUCUGGCUGGGCCAUCUUUUUGAUGCGGAUCCUUUGGUGGAUCGUGUGUCGGCUUGUGUGCGGCGCCGCUUGCCGCUCCAUGCUGGCCAUGCGGUCGUCUAUCCCACUGGGUGGCUUUCCUAUUUUUUGACUGUGGGGGCUCUAAGGCCUCCUCGUCAAAUUCAGGCAGUAGCUUUCGCUUUGGAUAGCUUUUUGUGCGGCGACUGCCGCCAUAUUUGUCUGCGGUGUUGCGUACUUUGCUCCAUCUGAUUCUGAGUGCAUCUUCUGCAGUUUUGAGCUUCCGCUUCUGCUUUUUCAGGCUACGCGCAGUGGCGAUGAGCCUUUUGUGGAGGUUCUUCUGCUCCUUGAGCCUAUCCGGCGUAAGGUCGUCCGGACUGUUGUUUUCGCCGGGGACGGGGUGUUCGGUUUGUUUAUCCAAGUUGCCCUAUUCGGACGGUUGCUCGAAGGCAUGUUCGUCAUCCGCCGGCUCGUCCUGCUCUAUGGCUGGGUCUGUAUGGCUGUUGUCUCUGUCGAGGCAGGGCUUGGAGCGGCGCUUACGUCGCUGCUUUGAUUGCUUUUCGAGUGAACGAUCCCUCGUUGCAUCCCUGUGUUCCUCAUCGUUGCUUCCUUUGGGUGUGUCCACCAUGUAUACAUCAUGAGAUGAGGUGGCUGUCCAGUGCCUUCUAGGCGUUGGUUCAUGUUCAUCUCCUACAUCGUCAUCCAUACCGUCGAUGUCUUCGGAGUCAAAGUCGAGCACGUCGUUUAAAUUAUCGACAGUGGCUACGAAGUGGGUGGUGGGUGGGCAUCGAAUUUCUUCGUCGUCCACAUCCCAAUCCUGCCGGUCAUAGUCCGGCCAGGACUCUCCUGACAAAGAGAGAGACCUGAGUGAAUUCAGAAUGUUGCUGAAGGGCGAGUGCUGAAAGAUGUCUGCGGUGGUGAACUCCAUGAUCGGCGCCCAAUCGGAUUCGAUCGGUAGGGGCGCGGAGGGCUCGGAGUCCGGAGAGGAGUCCGGCAUCUUGGAGUUACGGGCUUCGCGGAGGACAAGGCUGGUGUUCGGCUUGAUCGCCGUAGAGAUUGCAGCCCCCGAGGCGGUGUCUAACCACCCAUCCUCGAUUGGUGUGGUCGGCUCCGAGCCAAGGGUCGGAGCGGACACAGGUGCGGCCUUCAGGGCACUGUUCGGCGGUAGAGCUAGAUCAUGCCCACCGGGAAGUGCGGCGCGCUCAGCUGCGGCUCAGAUCAGUCGAAGAUCAAGUCUCCGCGGUCGUCCGCUGUGUAGUUUAAACUUCUAAAUCUGACCUGACGGCCAGGGGCGUAGCUUUCGAUCUGCUCCAGAUGGCCAAGCGAAUUGGCCCCCAGUGCAAAGCCGCCAAAUACGAAGAUCUGUCCGGGGAGAAAAGUCUCACCCUGGAUCGCAUCGUCGUUGAUGAUCAGAGGAGCCAUCGGUCCUAAAAGUGACGACACAGAGGAACUCUCAAUGAAAGCACCAAUGUCAGUGUCAAAACCGGCGGAUCUCGGGUAGGGGGUCCCGAACUGUGCGUCUAGGCGGAUGGUAACAGGAGACAAGGGACAUGAUGUUUUUACCCAGGUUCGGGCCCUCCUGAUGGAGGUAAAACGCUACUCCUGCUUGAUUAAUAUUGAUGAUAUGGGUAGUACAAGAGUAGAUCUACCACGAGAUCAAGGAGGCUAAACCCUAGAAGCUAGCCUAUGGUAUGAUUGUUGUUCCUACGGACUAAAACCCUCCGGUUUAUAUAGACACUGGAGAGGGCUAGCGUUACACAGAGUCGGUUACAAUGGUAGGAGAUCUACAUAUCCGUAUCGCCAAGCUUGCCUUCCACGCCAAGGAAAGUCCCUUCCGGACACGGGACGAAGUCUUCAAUCUUGUAUCUUCAUAGUCCAGGAGUCCGGCCGAAGGUAUAGUCCGGCUAUCCGGACACCCCCUAAUCCAGGACUCUCUCAGUUCCCGUUAAUUCGGCUAGGGCAUAAGGGGAGCACCUCUGCAAUUGUUACUGUCAGGUCAGCCGGAUGUGUACCUUAGACUGGGUGAAGCCAAAAGCUAGCGUUCUUAAGGGAAUAUUCGGUCGGUGAACAAAAGAUGAGUUUUACUUAUUGCAAUACAUGCCCCCAGGUGUUUAUAUCUUGCGUCUCUUCUCGCAGUCCGGACAUGCACUUUAAUGCAUGCGUACCCAGGGAAAGGAACCCUUAACAGAACUAUUCUCCCUGGAAGAUGUUUCUUACUAUCCAUGUAAUAUAACAUAGCUAGUUGGGUACUUGCCUGUUCAAGCACUUAUGACCCCUACGCCUGGUUUCCACACGUACCCCGGUUUUUACAUAACUGAGCGGGUAUUCGGAUACACUUCGGACUGUCGAGUCCGGAGGUCAAAGCAAAAAGGUCCACCAUGACAAAUGAUUUACAAUCCGGCUAGAGAGAAUAUAUGUCAGUUGGAGUACACAAUCACUUAGACUGACUAAAUUAUUCUUCCAUACCAUCCAACAGGCUGUCUAGCCUACAAUCCUUUGGGAAUACUUUGCGGCUAAUUCUACCUGGUCAUACACCAGACUAGCGGGGAUCUCUUUUCCAUCAGACCCCACAGGUCCGACCUCGGCCAUGUGGUUCGGGUCAGCCUUGGUAUAUCACAUCUUCACCAUGGCCCAGGCUUCCCUUGCACCUUGUCGGCAGGCAGAUAUUGUCGGGGGGAUGGACCACGGGCAGGCAACGGAACCCGGAUCUUCUUCAAAAACAACGGGGUCAGCACUGCCCCUCAAUACCGGCAUGCGCUUGGCCGGGUCGCUCGACCCGGCCAAGCCCUGGAAGCCGGCAGACUAGCCGACCCGGCAAGACACGUCGACUCGGCCUCAACAACUAGCGCAAGACAGCCGAACCCGGCACGACCAAAGCUUCCUCGACAAGACAGCACCACCCGUGGCGUGCUACGCAGUCCAGCCGCGGGUCAGCACCCGUCCCAUCCAGGCCGUGCGAUGGGACAAGGCUUCAAUCAAUGAUGACUGAGGCGACAGUGCCCCGCCCAUGCCUCUGGUCAGCGGGUACGUAGCAACAGUGCUUCUCACCUACCCGCUGACCAAGGCCGGCGGGGCUACAGUGCCCCCACCCCCACCGCUGACAACAGCAAGCGGCGACUUGACGAAGAGCACUGUACACGACUCGACUCGGCCACGCCCUGACGAUUGACAAGAUGGCGCACAGUCCCCCUAGGCACGCAGGGCCCGCACCUAGGGGAACCCGGUGAACCACAAGCCCUCAGCGGGACCCAGCUCGGGUCGCCGGACGCCGACACUAUGGACCCACCAACUUGUAACAUUACCAUUGUACCCCUGGGGGUUGACCUAUAAAACCCCACAGGAGCCCUCGUGCAGGGAGAGAGAGGAGAGAUAUAGACACACCAGAGAACUCAUUCCAUUACACUCGCCAAGUUAGUAACACCCCAGGAGAGGGAACUGCCUAAGCCUUGGCCAGUUUCCUUCCUCUUCCAUACAGCUCCAGGAGCGACAUUGUACUAUCGAUCAUCCAACAAAACUCGGCAGAACUAGGGGUAUUAUCUCUCCGGAGAGCCCCGAACCUGGGUAUGUCCGGCGUCCCGUGCCCGCUCAUGCCAACCUUGCCUCUGGAGCCCACCAGCGCCCUCGAGCCUCCUCCUCUCUUUAGCCAUCCCUUGGCAUCUGUCGUGCGCCCACCACGAUAGUUGGCGCCCACCGUAGGGAAACUCGAGGAGCUGGCCGGGAGCAUGCUUCAGACGGGGCCCUUUUCCUACACCGGCGGACGAUGUCAUCGGCGUGCUCGCUGCCUCCUUCGCCGCGCUGCGCAUCUCCGAUGCGUUCGCGGCCGACGAGUACCCCAGCGAGGUGUUCAGCUACUCCGACUCUCCCCUCUCCCUCGGCGGCGGCGUCCCCGUUGGGGCAGGGGAGGUUCAUGUGGAGGUCUUCGCCACCGGUGAUGGCGUCUCCUCCUCGUCGAGCGAGACGAGGAAGGCCGCUGAAGCCAGGGCCGCGGCGGAACGGAUCGAGCCGUCCUAUCCGUUGCGCACAGCAAUGUGGAGCCUCCGCAUCCCCAUCAGCACUGACGUCGACGCCACCAAUGUCGCUGAGGCCCGAACCCAGCUCGAGGAAAGGCGCCAGCAGAUGCUGGACCUGUCCGAGACGCUCGCCGCCACUCAGCGUCGCCUGGACGCCGCUCAACUGGAGUGCAAUGCCGCCUAUGGUUUCACGCCCGCUGCGGCCGGCCCAAGCCGGGUCACCGAUGUGCGUGCCCGGGGAGGAGUGAUCGGCCGGGCCCUCGGCGCCGUCUCAAUCAUCUACGAGACCCCAGUGAAGAACAUGCGCGCUGCCCAGGCAGCCGCAGCCGGCCUGGACCAGCUCGCGGGUGAGGAGCUGAAAGAGUGCAUCGGGCGGAUGCGCGAACUCCUCCACACCGCCAACGUCCAACAGGACCGCCUCAACCAGCUCGCCAAGCCGACGGGAUCCGGCUCCGCCCGCCUUGGCGGGUCCGGCGAACUUCUGCACACCGCUUCCUCGCCACCCGGCGAGGCGCACUCUAGCCGAACCCAGACUCGGCAUGACCCGGCCGCUACAGCCGCCGAUGGAUUGGGCGACGAGCUCGUCCUAGAGAUCCAGCACGGACCCGGCCCCCCGUGGCCUGGCCGCAAGUCGACUCGGCCCGCGCGCCAUCGACGACGCCGACGCUCGCCACCGCCUCGAUCGGCUCGCUCACUCCCUGGAGAUGGAGGAGAGUGGCGCUAUCGGGCCGGCGUGCUUCGGACCCCGCAUCCAGGAGGAGCCUUUUCCCAAAGGAUUCAUGCUCCCCCGCGACACCCCCAAGUACAACAGGACAGUGAAGCAAGAAGACUGGCGCACCGAUUACACCACGGCCAUUGGCAUCACCGGUGCCAAUCGUCGUCUCACCGUGCGCUACGCACCGCUCAUGCUCCAAGGGUCGGCCCGCACAUGGUUGAAUAGCCUGCCGACGGGCAGCAUCAACACGUGGGUGGACUUCGAGGAAGCCUUCAUCUGCAACUUCACGGGGACCUACAAGCGACCCGGCCGCCCUAGCCAGCUCGCCAUGUGUGUGCAAGGGCCUACAGAGACCGGCCACGAGUACCUCGCACGCUGGACCGAGCUCCGGAACAGCUGCGAGGGCGUCCAUGAAGUCCAGGCGAUCCAGUACUUCGUCAACAGGUGCCGAGACGGCACCCUCCUCAAGCACAGGCUCUUACGCUCCGAGCCGACCACCAUGGCCGCGCUCAUGGUGACGGCGGACAAGUACGCCAACGUCGACUCUGCCAUGAAGAUCCAGGUGGCGCUGGAUGAAGCCGGCAAGGCGAAGCUGGUUCCCCCUCCAAAACCGGCCAGCGAAAGCAGCUGACAGCAGCAUCACCAGAACAACAUGCGCAAGGCCGACCAGUCGGCGCCGCGUUGCGACAACCGGCUCGUCACAGCCACCGAGCCCGCGGCGAAGCGCCGGCAAACCGGCAAGACGGCAUGGCAACCCGCCAUGAGCUUCGAGCAGAUGCUCGACGCCCCUGCAAGCACCACAGCGGCACAAGACACUCCACGCACAUGCUUCGGCAGUGCGCCAUCACCAAGCGCAUCAUGAGGGGCGACGUCCCGCCCCCUCCGGCUCCGGCUCAGGGCGCUGGACAGCCGCCACCUCCUCCGCCGCCACCUCCAGCUGGCGGCGUGAUGCGCGACAACGCCUACCCAGACCAGAACGCGGCCUACGUCAUAUUCACCAGCCUCAGCGACGAAAAGUGCAGCGAGCGCCUCCUUCGGCAGGAGGUGAACACUGUCGUCUCGGCCAAGCCAGAGUUCAUGCAUUGGUCGGAUCGCCCGAUCACCUAGACCCAGGAGGAUCACCCGACAGUCAUGCCAAGUCCUGGUGGUUAUGCCCUCGUCCUCAACCCCACCAUGGUCGCGCCAUGCACAUGCAAGUUCUCCCGAGUCCUCAUCGAUGGCGGCAGCAGCAUCAACAUCCUCUACCGCGACACGAUGACCAAGCUCGGCCUCAAGGCCGAGGACCUGGAGCCGACCCGGAUGAUCUUUCACGGCAUCGUGCCCGGCCUCUCCUGCUCCCCCAUUGGCCGGGUCCAGCUAGACGUCCUGUUCGGUGACAACAGCCACUUCGGGCGCAAACCGAUCUGGUUCGAAGUGGUGGACCUGUCCAUCGCGUAUCACGCGUUGCUGGGACGGUCCGCGCUCGCCAAAUUCAUGGCGGUUCCCCACUAUGCGUACCUGAAGAUGAAGAUGCCGGGUCCCAAGGGCCUCAUCACCAUCACCGGCGAUUACUGCAAGUCCCUGGAGUGCGGCCGAGAUGGCGCCAAGUUGGCCAAGUCGCUGGUCAUUGCCGAGGAGCGGCGCCAGCUCGACCGGAUCAUCGCCCUGGCAGGCGAGGCCUCCGCCGCGUCGAUCCCGACCUCAGAUCCAGCCGACAAGGCCGCCUUCAAGCCCUCCAAGGAGAUCAAGAAAGUGAAGCUCAACCCAGAAGACCCCAGCGGCAGCAAGUACGUUGUCGUAGGCGCCCGCCUCGAUAGCAAAUAGGAAGGCGAUCUCGUCGACUUCCUCCGUGAGAAAUGGGAUAUCUUCGCAUGGACCCCCAAGGACAUGUUGGGUAUCCCGAGGAAGUACGCUGAGCAAAAACUUCACGUCCGCAAGGACGCCAAGCCCGUCCGUCAACCUCUACGACGAUUUUCCGAAGAGAAGAGAAGAACCAUUGCUGAAGAGGUCGCCAAGCUUCUGGCGGCCUGCUUCAUAAUGGAAGUGUUUCACCCCGAGUGGCCGGCCAACCCAGUCCUCGUCCUGAAGAAGAACAAGACCUGGCGCAUGUGUAUCGACUACACCAACCUCAACAAGGCAUGUCCCAAGGAUCCGUUCGCCCUCCCAUGGAUCGACCAAGUCAUCUACUCGACCGUCGGGUGUGAGCUCCUGUCCUUCCAGGACGCUUACUCCGGCAACCACCAGAUCAAGCUGGACCUGGCCGACGCCCUGAAGACGUCCUUCAUCAUGCCCUUCGGGGCGUAGCUAUGUCACCAUGUCGUUCGGCUCGAAGAACAUCGGCGCCACCUUCUAGCACUGCAUGCAGAAAUACCUGCUACCACAACUCGGCCACAAUAUCCACGUGUACGUGGACGACAUCAUGGUGAAGACCAAGCAGCACCUCACGCUCCUCGACGAUUUGAAGGAAACAUUCGCCAACCUCCGUGAAUACAAGGUCAAGCUUAACCUGGAAAAAUGCGUCUUCGGCAUUCCGGCCGGAAAGCUACUCGGCUUCCUCGUCUUGGAACGCGGCAUUGAGGCGAACCCGGAGAAGAUCAAGGCCAUCGAGCGCAUGCACAAGCCGGCUCGGCUGCGCGAUGUCUAGAAGUUCACCGGGUGCUUGGCCUCGGUCAACCGGUUCCUAAGCCGGCUGGGCGAGAGGGCGAUGCCCCUGUACCAGCUGAUGUAGAAGACAAGCCCGUUCGAAUGGAACGGUAAGGCAGACGACGCCUUCCAAGACCUCGAGCGCAUGCUCUCCACCGCGCCAGUCAUGGCCGCACCGACCGACAAGGAGCCGCUAUUGCUCUACAUAGCCACGACCACGCGGGCGGUCAGCACGGUGUUGGCGGUCGAGUGACCGGAGAAGGGCAAGAUCCAACCCGUGCAGCGCCCAGUCUACUACCUGAGCGAAGUGCUCUCCAACUCCAAGCAGAACUACCCGCACUACCAGAAGAUGUGUUACGGCGUGUACCUCACCGCCAAGAAGCUGAAGCAAUAUUUUCAAGAGCACGUUGUCACCGUGGUCAGCAUGGCGCCUAUCGGAGAAAUCAUUGGGUGCCGGGACGCCUCUGGCCGGGUUGCCAAGUGGGCAAUCCAGCUAGCCGGCCACACCAUCCUCUACGAACCCCGCACCUCGAUCAAGUCUCAGGACCUGGCCGACUUCCUCGUCGACUGGACCAAGACCCAGUACUUGCCACCGCCUCCCGACUCGAUGCAUUGGCGCAUGCACUUCGAUGGGUCCAAGAUGCGACUCGGCUUAGGGGCUGGCAUCGUACUAUCAUCCCCGAAGGGCGACUGGCUCCACUACGCGCUCUAGAUCCACUUCGCCGCCUCCAACAACGUCGCCGAGUAUGAAGCCCUUGUGCACGGCCUUUGGCUUGCCAAGGAACUCGGCAUCCGGCGCAUCCUGUGCUAUGGCGACUCGGACUUGGUGGUACAGCAGUGCUCCGGCGAAUGGGACGCCCGCGACUCCAACAUGGUAAGCUACCGCUUCCUCAUCCAGAAGUUGUCCAGAUCCUUCGAGGGCUACGAGUUCCUCCACAUCCCGUGCGCGGAGAACGAAGCAGCCGACACGCUCGCCAAGAUCGCCUCGUCACGACAAGCCAUCCCAUCCGACGUCUCCCUCGAGCACCUGCAAAAGCCGUCCGUCAAGCCAUCACCAGACUCCAAGUCUAUCCAUGUUCCAGACAACCUGGCCGCACCUCAACACGGCCCGGGGACUACUCAGCCCAGCCCGGGGACUGCUGAACCCGGCCUAGGGGCUGCCCAACUCAACCCGGUCACCAUCGUCCCAGACUCAGCCGUUGCCAUACCCGACCCGGGGACUGCUCAACCCGGCUCGUGGGCUGCCGACUCAUAACCCACCCAGGUGGCCGUCCUCGUCGUGGUUACGGCUCCAUCUUGGGCCCUCCCAAUAUCAGAAUUUUUGAAGAACGGGGUUCUCCCCAUGGACGAGACCGAAGCUCGGCAAGUGCAGCGUCGGGCGUCCGCCUACAGCAUCAUCAACAACGAGCUUGUCAAGCGCAGCUCCACCGGCGUGUUCCAGUGCUGCGUUGAGCAGGAACGGGGCAUCGACAUCCUCCGCGACAUACAUCAGGGCGAGUGCGGGCACCACGCCGCAUCACGAUCCCUGGUGGCCAAGGCGUUCCGCCAUGGUUUCUACUGGCCCACGGCCCUUGAAGAUGCCGAGUUGCUCGUCCUCAGGUGCGAGGGAUGCUAGCGCUUCAGCAAACGCAGCCACCAGCCGGCGUCAGCACUCUGCACCAUACCGAUCACCUGGCCCUUCACGGUCUGGGGACUCGACAUGGUGGGACCCUUCAAAACCGCUCGAGAUGGCAUGACGCACUUGCUGGUGGCAGUGGACAAAUUUACCAAGUGGAUCGAGGCAAGACCAAUCAAGAAACUGGACGGGCCAACAGCCGUCCGGUUCAUCAAAGACAUAGCGGUGCGCUACAGCAUGCCAAAUAGCAUCAUCACCGACAACGGCACCAACUUCGCCAAGGGCGCGCUCGAACAAUACUGCUCCGUCUCUGGCAUCCGCCUCGACGUGGCCUCUGUUGCGCAUCCGCAGUCCAACGGGCAGGUCGAGGGGGCAAAGGACUCAUCAUGUCUGGCAUCAAGCCGCGACUCAUUGAGCCACUCAUCUGCUCACCUGGUAGCUGGCUCGACGAGUUGCCAGCCGUUCUCUGGAGUCUACGCACCACGCCGCGACUCGUCAAGCCACUCAUCGGCUGGACGGAGCCCGGCCAUAGGGUCGCCGUCAUCGCAGUGCCAGCCUAGGACAGCCGCCCCAGCUGCGUCCCUAGGGCCUCCAGGCGGGCCUCGGCGGCGGUGAUGAUCUCCGGGAAGGUCCAGGACACCCGCGGAUCCGUCCCAGACCCAACCACGCCGGCCGGGUCGCGCUGAUGGCGGACGGCUUCCUCCGCCAGUCGUUGCUUCUCUGGGAAGGCCCCUGUCGCAAAAGAAGAAGCAAGUUAGAAAAAGAACAACAAGUAAGAAAGGCCGGAUCUCGACCCAGCGAAUAACAAGAAAAAAGCACUUACUAGAGAAGGACUCUUCCAGGUGUUGCGCUUCAAGCAACAUACUGCGCCACUCCCAUUUGAUGGUGUGAUCGCGCUCCUUGAGCGCCUUCUCCAGAUCGGCCGCCUUGGCAAGGGCCGCCUUCAGCUCGGCGCCCUUGUCCUCGGCCGCCUCCUCGGCCGCCUCGCGGCGACGGGCCUUGUCUUGACGAGCCCCCUUAGCCGUGGCAACCUGCUCCCGCAGGCGGUCCACCUCAGCGUGGUGCCGGCCCUUGUCGCUGACCAGCUGGACGCGCUGCUGGUCCACCUCCAAUAGGGCCCGCUGCGCCUCUGCCGCCUUGGCGGCCUCCGCCUUGAGGAGCUCCACCUCGGCCUCGAGGCUGCUCUUUUGACCCGCCAGCUGCUCAUGCAGCCGGCUGGCCUCGUCGAGAGACCGCCGAGCCGCGGCCGCUUCUGCCAUCGCCUGCGCCGCCUCAACGCCAAGACGUCCGGUGUCGGCGACGAGCCGGUCGUAGUGAUGACCAUCCCGGAGCAGACGAGUCCGCCAAGACAGCAGCAAGCAUGGGGUCCGCCAGUAAGUGACCGAAAGGGAGGGUAAGGCAGGGAUACCUACAUCAGAGGAUCCACUUCCACUAUACUACUUUGACCAAAUGUUAGAGUAAUAAUAUAUGACAUGCAACUUGCACAAAUGUUAGAGUAAUAAUAUAUGACAUGUAACUUACACAAAGCAUACAGGGUCUAAUGUGUUUUUCGAGGCUAACUUUGACCAAAUGUUAGAGUAAUAAUAUAUGACAUGCAACUUACACAAAUCAUAUGGUCAAAUUCAUAUGUGAAAGGAGUUUCCAAUGAUAUAAUUUUCACAUUAUACAUCUCAUGUACUAUUAAUCUUGUCAAUAGUCAAAUUGGAAACCAUCUCGAGUACAAAUCUAGGAGUACGUACGAAUCUAACAAUAUUGAUUGGGCGUUGUUGAAUGUUGAUACCGUUUUGAUCAAAGUAGAGAUACUUUGACUACACAUAAAACUUAUAUGUAAACUAGAAAGGAUAGGAGGGAGUAUAUUGUACGUUCAAAAACGAAAUGAACAUUGAAUACCCUUUAUAUAUGAUUUGCGGAUGCUAUGAUCACCGGUUCAUUGAAUCCGCCUUAGGUAUCAUGUGCCCCCACUCGUUCCCUCUCGAUUUCAUCUCGGGGUCAGGAGAUCUAUUGAAAGAGGACUAGGGUGGGUACAUGCGAAUGAUACUCGGCGGAAUGUCCAAAUGAGGCAUGCGGGAGGAUGGACUCGACUGGAGGGCGACAUGAUCGAUGGAGAAGAGGGUUGGAGAGGAAUGAGAAAUAAGCAAACGCCACAUGAUUAUACUUGAACGGCUCAAAUAAACAAUAAGUUGUCUCGCUUGGCCUACAUAGUGAAAGGCCUAAUGCGCAACACGGAGCACUGACGCUCGAAUAUGGCCGGGAAAAUAGGGAAACUGACAUGUGGGGCACACCCGUCGGGACGACGUAGCGCAGACUAGUCCAAUGGAGGAGCUGGCCCAUGACCUCCCCACCACCGACAACCGUUCAUGUGGGUUGUUGGGGCCAACAAUGGGGCACAUCUCCAGCACUGCCUCUGGACACGGCGACCGCGGUGAGCGACAUGCUCAUAUUGUAGCUAGACAUGGUCGGUUUCAGUGUGCCGAGGGUGGCGUUAGUGUUGUGGCACAACCAACGGUAUGUUUGGUUUGUUCCCAAGGUUGCCCCAUCAAAGCAUUGGGUAGCCAAAAUUUUGGUUGAGGUAUUGGUUGCCCAUGAUUUGGCCAACAUUGGCAAGAAAAAUGAAUUAGAGUUGGCUAGAGUUCAUUGGCAUGCCAAAGAAAUGGCAACCAUCCAAACAAAGACCAAUCUUUGGGUCAUGACCAAAAUUUUGGUUGAGGUAUUGGUUGCCCAUGAUUUGGCCGACAUUGGCAAGAAAAAUGAACUAGAGUUGGCUAGAGUUCAUUGGCAUGCCAAAAAAAUGGCAACCACCAAACAAAGACCAAUCUUUGGGUCAUGACCAAAAUUUUGGUAAGGUGCACUUUGGCCACAAUCCAAACACACCCCAACACCCGGCUCAUCGAGGAUGCACGGGGCGCCGCAUUGCGUUCGUGGAGUGGUGUAGCGCGGCCAACUGCAUCCUCUGGACCUGAGACCAUGCCGGGUCGUCUUGCUUUUUCAAUGACAUGCGGGGAUCGCAUGUGAGCAAAGGGCAUCUCCAACAUUGCCACGACCGCAGCUGACUACCCUGGCACACCAAAACCCUCGUCCCUCGCGCCGUCACGCGGUGCGUUCCCAGCCGGCGCGAGCUGCUCGCAUUCAUGCCAUCCGUUCGUAUGUCGUUGUUAAGAGGCUCGGUGCCCGAGGAACCAACUCCGGCGACUUAAUGACGCAUCUGGACGCUUGGCCUCACCGGAAUGCGCUACUUAAAGUGGCAACGCCCAGCUAACCUCCACACCAUAGCGCAUCGUCCUCCUACCUGGCACCACAUCCGCCAUGACCGCAAGUGCGAACGCUCUGCGGGAGAGCUUGUCUUCGGGGAUGAAGCUCGAGGUCGCCGCCCUCUCUCAAGUCGCCUCUCACGAUGCAAUAGCGGCGUAGCCGAACACGGACGCGACCGCACAAGCGGUGGCCACACUGGCGGCCGGCGAUGGGAGCACCGUCAGCCACGCGUCCUACUUGCCGCCGUCCAACGUCCGGCUCUGCCGAGGUCAGGGACUCCUCCGAGGAUGAGUAGGGCAUGGGAGGCGGCAGGGCAUGGUGUGCCAACUGGCCGGUCCGUAUCCCAUGCUCUACUCUUCCUCGCCGGAGACCGCACCUUCACUUCACGGGUCUUGAACCCCGCACCCGUACAUAGAGAUCGCAGAUGGAGGAUGUCGGUCGCCGCCGUAGAAUAGGUUUAGGGUCGGGUUUCUUUUAUUUUUCUGUCCUAUAAAAGUUCGAAAUGUAAUGAAAAUUUGCCGUGUUUGCAUUAAUCUCGGCUGGUGUAUAUGAACUUUCACAAUAAUAUACAUAUUGUAGGAGUACUAGCAAGAUGCCCGUGCAUUGCACGGAAGAUCAAGAUCUUGUGGGAGAAAAAGAUGAACGAGGGAAAGCCUUAUCUGCAAAUGUGGAGAGGAGUGUGGGUAAAUUGUCAUAGUUUCCUUCCUAUCCGUUAGAUAUAGAUCAGACGGCCUAUAUUGUAGGAUGACAGGCACACCAUCAUCACCAACUCUGCUUUUUAUUGAACCGAGACAAAUCUAACAUGCGAAGUAAAAUAAACACAUAGGGUCUAUACAUACACAAAUUAUCUUAGGCACUCCAAUAGUACGUCCACUACACAUUCACGCAUUUCACAUCUUUCUACAUCUACGGGAACCUACUAAGGGGUUAACGUAAAUUGCCUCUCUCUCCCCUCCCCUGAUUUUCAUGGUGGUGGGCCCCUCCCUCCCCCUAAUCUACAAUCAACAGCUCACACAUUUCACAUUACGUUAAUUACGUAACUGGGAUUACGUAGGUGUAGCAUUACUCGUCCUAAAAACCCCAACUAAGCCAACCUCCCAGCAUAUCGCGCGGGAAAAGACCCGGCCGCACCGUUUUAGUCGAGAUUACCGGAUUACUAGUAGUAGUAUCGAUGGAUCGCGCGAAGCAACAAAAUUUUUUUUGAGGGGGUGAAGCACCUAGUUUAAAAGGAAAAAAGGCGGUACACUCACAGCACUCCUGUCGCGGUAGCAUUGCACUCGACACAUGUUCGGUCCUGCACACGUACGGCUCACGCAAACGGAACGCGCUUCGGCUUGCCUCUUCACUAACAUGUGGGACUGCACUUGGAGAAACCGACCAUGCGCCAAACUCCCCCCGCCCACCGCGCGAAAAUCCUCCCCCCCCCCACUCCCAAAAAUUCCCCCCAAAUCCGAUUCAACCGCCCUUCGGCCAACUAGCCAAUAAUAUUCCCCAAACCCCCNNNNNNNNNNNNNNNNNNNNNNNNNNNNNNNNNNNNNNNNNNNNNNNNNNNNNNNNNNNNNNNNNNNNNNNNNNNNNNNNNNNNNNNNNNNNNNNNNNNNNNNNNNNNNNNNNNNNNNNNNNNNNNNNNNNNNNNNNNNNNNNNNNNNNNNNNNNNNNNNNNNNNNNNNNNNNNNNNNNNNNNNNNNNNNNNNNNNNNNNNNNNNNNNNNNNNNNNNNNNNNNNNNNNNNNNNNNNNNNNNNNNNNNNNNNNNNNNNNNNNNNNNNNNNNNNNNNNNNNNNNNNNNNNNNNNNNNNNNNNNNNNNNNNCUCCACUCCAUUCGCUCCGCCAAAGCCGCCCUCCCCACCACGCCGAUACGUCAGCGUCGCGGUUCGGUGAUCCUCUCGCUCCCACAGUAUGCUCUCGUAGACUACCAUCCUCUAGCCGCGCCGCCACCUCUGGCUACGUUCUUGUGGAGGCGCACGGCGGUCAGCGCUGCCACCGCUGGUGACGUUCGUGUGGAUACGCAUGGCAGUUAGCUUCUCCCACGGUACGCUCAUUCUAGACUGAGGCCCCAUUCAUGUCGGUGUAGCACUGAAUGUUAGCUGAUAGACGAUGUUAAUCUCACUGUUUACCGAAGUAGUUUACUGUCAAUAUGUUCUGCUUAAGAAGCUUCCUUGCCCUGUUCUGCACUCAAUCUGCUUAGCUGAGAUGGCAUGCCAAGGCCGAUUAGUUGCUAAAAUAUCCUACCAUAUAUUCACUGUGACGUAGAUUGCCAAUCUAUUAGGUGAAAUAGCUCUACACCAUUUUAUACUCGAUCUUUGUUGUUGCGAUGGCCUUCGAUAGUUCGAUGGCUGUGUGCUCGGCCUCAUUGACUGCUGAAACAGCCUGCCAUAAUUUGGCACUCAAAUCUGUUUGCUGAAUUAGCUUUACAUAUAUUUCGUUACUUAGAUCUGCUCGUCCAAAUAUCUUGCCAUAGCUUUAGACAUCGACCUAGGUAUUUUUUCUGGACUUCAUAAAAAAGCAUAUAUGUGUUUUCCUGUAAUAUCUAGUAGAAGAACUAAUUUGUAUGUCUAACAGAUGGACAGGACUUGGAUAACUUCUGCUCGAAGAUUCUCCGCUGCAUAUGUCGAGGGGGUUGAAAACUUCAUGAACUUUAUCAGAGCUGAGUACGGUGGUCCGAAAUCAGAUGUGCUCUGCCCGUGUAGCAGUUGUAUGAAUUCAGUUACAAGACCCCAGUCAAUUGUGCAAAAUCAUCUACACUUGUAUGGGAUGUCGGUCACAUAUACUAGGUGGGUUCAUCAUGGUGAAGCUGUGAACGUCAAUGUUAUUGACUAUGUGGAAGCAGCAGAUCACCAUCUUGAUCUGCCUGAUGCUCGGGUGGAAGAGGAGGAGGAGGUGGUGGUGGUGGAGCCAGUGAGUUUGACUAACAUUGAAACAAUGCUACAAAAUGCUCGUGCAUUCCGUGAACUUUCACUUGCAGAAGAAAAAUGGUGGGCCCGCAUGUUGGAACGAUGGAAUGUUGCUGUCACCCCAGGAAAUAAGAUGUCAGUAUUCUCAGCUAUGGUCACCUUUCUUCAGGUGAAGACAUCUGAGCGGAUGACCGACAAAUCAUUCGAUGCGAUGUUGGCUGCUUUCCGCAAAUCUUUCCCAGAUGCGUUUGAGCUGCCACACACCUACAGUAAAAUAAAGAAUUUCCUUCGUGCAGUUGGAAUUGGAUAUGAUAUGAUCCAUGUUUGUAAGAAUAAUUGUGUUCUGUUUCGGAAGGAUUAUGCCAACUUAAGUGAAUGCCCGAAAUGCAAAUCAUCAAGAUGGAAAGAUGGCGAUGCUGUGAAGAGGAUUCCUCAUAAUGUCCUGAGAUAUUUUCCAAUUACACCAAGAUUGCAGAGGUUGUUUCAUGAUGCUGAAACAAGAGAGGAUGUACUGUGGCAUUCUAGGAACCAGGAGUAUAGAGAUCAGAAUGUAAUGAGCCAUCCAUCUCAUGGUAGUGAGUGGAAAAGCUUCAAUGAUAAACACAAAGAGUUUGCUGCUGACCCAAGAAACAUUAGACUUGGCUUAGCUUCAGAUGGAUUUAACCCAUUUGGCCACCAGAGUGCCACAUAUAGCAUGUGGCCAGUGCUUGUUAUCCCUUACAACAUGCCUCCAAAUGUCUGCACCAAAGAAUCAAACUACAUGAUGGCCUUGCUCAUCCUAGGUCCAAAAAGUCCUGGAAAGGAUUUUGAUUUGUUCAUGGAGCCUCUUGUGGAGGAACUUCAACAGCUAUGGAAGGGUGUUCUCACUCGAGACCUAUAUAGCAUCCCACCAGCUGAUUUCUUUCUGCGUGCUGUUAUAAUUUGGUGCAUCCAUGAUUAUCUGGCUUUGGGCACUAUGUCAGGGCGAACGACACAUGGUUACAAUGCAUGUGUUUGAUGUGACAGGAAUCCGCUGUCAUACGCAAUACUUAGCAAGAUCUGUUACAUUGGACAUCGUUGUUUCCAUGCCAAGGACAAGCCGCAUCCUAGAAAAUACUAAAGACAUGUGUUCAAUGCAAAGCAUGAAAACCGUGAUGCGCCAAAGAGGCUCAUCGCCGAUGAGUUGCAAGUGGAAUUAGAGAAGGGCAGGCAUAUUACACCAGGAAACCAUCCUGAUAAUGGUAGCGGGAAAAGGAAGUGUGGUGGGGUAGAAGAGAGAUUAUUGUUUACCCACAGGUCCACUUUGUGGGACUUGGAGUAUUGGAAAGAUUUGGAUCUGUGGCAUAAUCUUGAUGUGAUGCAUGUCGAGAAAAAUAUAUGUGACAGCAUUAUCGGCACACUUCUUAAUAUUGAAGGCAAGGCGAAAGAUACCUUAAAAUCUAGGAUUGAUUUGACACACCUUGGUAUCAAAAAGGAUUUGCAGGUGCAAGAUGAAGGUAAACCACGAGAUAUGGCACCAGCUGUGUACGUCUUGGACAAGGAAAAAAGAAAAGAAUUCUGCGAGGUCCUGUCACGUGUGAGAUUCCCACAUGGAUUUGCUUCCAAACCUGAAAGGAGAGUCAGUGCAGAUGGAAACAAGGUACAAGGGUUGAAAACUCAUGACUGCCACAUCCUACUUCAAAGGGUUUUACCUGUUAUCCUUAGAGGAUUGGGCCGCCCUGACUUAUACAGAGCAGAUGCAGAGUUGGGACAAUUCUUUAGGGAACUCUGCAGUAGGAAUAUUAGGAUAGAUGCUUUGGAGCGUCUUAGAGACAAGAUACCAACUAUCCUAUGUGACCUUGAGAAGAUAUAUCCUCCAGGCUUCUUUGAUGUGAUGGUGCAUUUGGCUGUUCAUCUACCUGAUGAGGCACUACUUAGAGGUCCAGUACAGUAUGGCUGGAUGUACCCUAUUGAAAGGUGGCUAGGCACUUUCAAGGGCUAUGUUAGGAACAGAGCUAGACCCGAGGGUUCCAUUGCAGAGGCCUACAUUGCUAUAGAAGCGUUGACAUUCUGCUCAAAAUACAUUGAAACAACUGAUCAGCUUAGCAAAGAGGUGGGUGAAGACAAUCCCGGGCUCAAUGUUUUCGAUUAUUCUGUUCGAGUUACAGGGAAGAGUCGACAAGAGGACAAAACUAAAGAUUUGGACAAAAUGGUUUGGUAUGUGUUGAAUAACUAUCCUGAGAUACUACCUUAUAUCUAGUAAGUGCAGUACUGCAGCUUAUACAUUGUAAUGUACUAAACUUGCAGCACAUUCUUAUAUAUUUAGAUGUUUGACGCGAUCACUAUGUUGUGCAGCAUCUACAAAGAGGAGUUAUUGCCGCAAAAUCCAAGAAACAUUGACAAACUGGUUAUUGCAGGAUUUGCGAAAUGGUUCAAGAACCAUGUAAGCUUUUGAAGUGCGCUGUCAGUUUUUUUUAAUAUAUUGAGUACAUAAGAUGAUCAGCUUGUCUAUUUUCUAACCAUAGGUUAAGAAGAUGCGGGAGGAUGGGCAGGCAGUUGAUGAUGCCCUUUACUCACUAGCAACGGGUCCUGAUACUCGGGUAAGACAUUAUGAAUCUUGCGUUGUUGGAGAUGUGCGCUACAACACCCUUGCACGAGACGAAGGCAGGAAGACACAAAACAGUGCCAUCAUGAGCACGGAUACGUAUGACAAAGAGACAACUGAAAUGUAUGCUAACAUAACAGACAUUGUUUAGUUGCAGUAUAUCUCCAGUUUCGAGGAUCAUCGGUGUGUGGUUAUGUUGUGUUGUCGUUGGUAUAACCUGUUUUCUAGGAUCGCAAAACCUAGAGCUGAUGAUUAUUUCAAAUCCAUCAAUGUCAAGGCGGUGUACCAGACCAACGAGCCUUUUAUUUUGGCAAAUCAAGCAACACAGAUAUUUUUCUUGGAAGACACAUUUGCACGUAGGGAUGACUAGAGAGUAUUGCAAAGGUUUGAGCAGAGGAAUCCGUUUAAUGAAGUUGCACAACAAGAUGAUGCUUACACUGCUCCUGAUGUACAAGAUAACACAGAUGUUCCUAAUAUCUUUGAGAACCAUCACAUCAAUGACGCCGGCGAAAAGAUUGCUUGUCGUGCUAUGGACAUACAAGAGUUGAUCAAGAAGAAGCCAAUGUUUGAGGACGUUGAGGACGAAGAAGAAGAUGACACCGUGGGGAAUUACGAUUCAGAUUGAUACACAUGGCGAAGAUGUUGACGAUGCUGCUGCGGAUGAUGAUUACAUUGCUUUUGUCGUAUUUGCCUGUCAGAAGACGUUUUUUAUCUACUAUGUGAAAUUGUGUUUACUAUGACAACUGAAACCUGAUGAACAUGUUGUUUAGUAUUUUGCUGUGAGAACAUCACUUGUUAUGUAUGCUGAUUUGUGUUUGGUGAUUGUAUGAAAACUAAAACAUGAUGACAUUGUUGUUUAGUUGUACUCAUAUUUGGCUGUGAAACUUGAAUUUGAUGACAUAGUUUGCUGUUGGACUGCAAUUUGCCGACGUCUUCGAAUGAGAACAAAGCAGACCCGACAGGGCCUCUGCUAUUUAUUUAUAUGAGCAAAAGGGGAUAACCCCUGAUUUCCGUUAAUAGAAAUCAUUAGAUGUUCACAACACUAUGCCCAGCCUGCUACAUAGGUUUCAUUCAUUACUAGUUUCAGCAAAGUGCUCAUGUCGUAGCCACUAAAUACAUCACGAGUGCUACAUACACUGCAAAUAAAGAGACAAUCAUCCUACAGAGCACAUCGAUUUUUCCCAUUAUCUUCACAAGCUCUUUCAUCUCCUCAUUAUUGUCAAGGUCGUUCAGCAGUUGUUGCUUGGCCAUGAUCAGAGGAACUACAUCUUUAACCUUCUGCUCUGCAUCUUCCUCUUCUGAUGUUCCUUCAGUUACUUGUCCAACACCCCAACCUGCUGGUAUUGGGAUUCCUCGGCUAACCAAAUAAUUAGUGUAGUUGCAUUUCCCCACAUCAGCAACUUCCCAGAAAUACAAAUCACACAAAUCUUCCCUUUUUUGCAUGAAUCAAAUUGGAAGAUCAUCAACCAAACUAUUAAACAAAAUCAGCAACUGAAAGCAGCAGAACAACACUUAAACAUAUUAUUACCCCAUGAUUCGGGCAUUUGUAGAAGACUCGGCCAGGGUUGCGGAUUGUGGUUGAGACGCGACAGAUGACUCUGCGUGAUUUGCAGCAGUGGCACCACACCAACGGCAGCGGGUUGCGAUGAGCAAUCGGCUGCGGUGCGCGUGCCGACGGGGGUGUGAUGAGACCCACAGGCGAUGGUACGGAUGGCGACUUGGCGCAUAUCUGGUUGUUGCCUGCAGAAGAGCAGGUGGACGAGCAGCCAGCAGACAUGGUUGAUGCGGCCAGAGCUUCUGAUGCUAGGCAGAGUAAGUAGAGAAGAGGAGAAGCGAACGUUGGAUAUGUCAGUUUCAUUAUUUGCAGAGUAGCAUAGCACCAUAUAUAGUCAUAGUCUAGGUUUGGAUUCGAACCAGCUACAGGAUCACGUCUUUCUUUUUUCUAAAAUUCGGCAACGUCUCUUUACUGGUACACUAGCUUGUUCUGUACGCCUUCCCAAGUCUUUGAUUUUCUUUCUAUAUACAAAAAAGUAUGCUACUUGGUGUCCGCUUAUUCAACAAACGAUUAUGCUAACCUUGACCGUUGGAUUGACAUUCAAUGUCUGUCGCGUUUCUUCAGUCUCUUCUUCCUCGAGCCGCCAAAGCCAAACAAGCGCCCACGGGACCGCCUGCUCCCGCCUCUCACGGCUGGCUGUGAUCUUCCACGGCUCCUGUUUGUUCCUGUCUGAGGCCUCACCAUCGUCCUCCGCCUUGGUUCGUGAUACGUCUCCAACAUAUCUAUAAUUUUUUAUUUCUCCAUCUAUAUCAUCUACUGUUUUGGAUGUUUAUGGGCUUUAUUAUACACUUUUAUAUCAUUUUUGGGACUAACCUCUUAACCCAGAGCCCAGUGCCAGUUUCUGUUUUUACCUUGUUUUAGGGUUUCGAAGAAAAGGAAAAUCAAACGGAAUCCAAUUGACCUGAAACUUCACGGAACUCAUUUUUGGAAGGAAAGAAGCCCAGAAGACUUGAAGUGCACGUAAUGGAAGCUUCAAGGAGGCCACGAGGUAGGGGGCACGCCCACUCCCCUAGGGCGCGCCCUCCACCCUCAUGGGCCCCUCGUGGCCCCCCUGACGUAGUUCUUUCGCCUAUAUAUCUCCAUAUACCCUAAAACUUCCGGAGAGCACAAUAGAUCGGGAGUUCCGCAGCCAUAAGCCUCCGUAGCCACCGAAAGCCAAUCUAGACCCGUUCCGGCACCCUGCCGGAGGGGGCAAUCCAUCUCCGAUGGCCAUCUUCAUCAUCCCGGUGCUCUCCAUGAUGAGGAGGGAGUAGUUCUCCCUCGGGGCUGAGGGUAUGUACCAAUAGCUAUGUGUUUGAUCUCUCUCUCUCUCUCUCAUGUUCUUGAAGUGAUACGAUCUUGAUGUAUCACGAGCUUUGCUAUUAUAUUUGGAUCCUAUGAUGUUUCUUCCCUCUCUACUCUCUUGUAAUGGAUUGAGUUUCCCCUUUGAAGUUAUCUUAUCGGACUGAGUCUUUAAAGAUUUGAGAACACUUGAUGUAUGUCUUGUCGUGCGUAUCUGUGGUGACAAUGGGAUACCACGUGGUUCACUUGGUGUAUGUUUUGGUGAUCAACUUGUGGGUUCCGCCCAUGAACCUAUGCAUAGGGGUUGGCACACGUUUUCGUCGUGAUUCUCCGGUACAACUUUGGGGCACUCUUUGAGGUCCUUUGUGUUGGUUGAAUAGAUGAACCUGAGAUUGUGUGACGCAUAUUGUAUAAUCAUACUCACGGAUACUUGAGGUGACAUUGGAGUAUCUAUGUGACAUUAGGGUUUUGAUUGAUUUGUGUCUUAAGGUGUUAUUCUAGUACGAACUCUAGGGCUGUUUGUGACACUUAUAGGAAUAGCCCAACGGAUUGAUUGGAAAGAAUAACUUUGAGGUGGUUUCGUACCCUACCAUAAUCUCUUCGUUUGUUCUCCGCUAUUCGUGACUUUGGAGUGACUCUUUGUUGCAUGUUGAGGGAUAGUUAUGUGAUCCAAUUAUGUUAUUAUUGUUGAGGGAACUUACACUAGCGAAAGUAUGAACCCUAGGCCUUGUUUCCUAUCAUUGCAAUACCGUUUAUGCUCACUUUUAUCACUUGCUACCUUGCUGUUUUUAUAUUUUCAGAUUACAAAAACCUUUAUCUACUAUCCAUAUACCACUUGUAUCACCAUCUCUUCGCCAAACUAGUGCACCUAUACAAUUUACCAUUGUAUUGGGUGUGUUGGGGACACAAGAGACCCUUUGUUAUUUGGUUGCAGGGUUGCUUGAGAGAGACCAUCUUCAUCCUACGCCUCCUACGGAUUGAUAAACCUUAGGUCAUCCACUUGAGGGAAAUUUGCUACUGUCCUACAAACCUCUGCACUUGGAGGCCCAACAACGUCUACAAGAAGAAGGUUGUGUAGUAGACAUCAAGCUCUUUUCUGGCGCCGUUGCCGGGGAGGUGAGUGCUUGAAGGUAUAUCUUUAGAUCUUGCAAUCGAGUCUUUUAGUUUCUUGUUUUAUCACUAGUUUAGUUUAUAAAAGAAAACUAUAUUAAAAAAUGGAAUUGAGUUUGUAUCGUACGCUUCACCUUUUUAAUAUCUUUCGUGAGUAUGAUGGAAAGGAUAAUUGUGCUCAAGUGCUAGAAGAAGAAAUCUAUAAAAUGUUUGGCACUAAAUCUUUGAAUGAUGAGCAUGAUUGCAAUGUUGUUAGUACAAAUUCUUUGAAUAUCCAUGAUACUAAUGACGAUUGCACUAGUUAUGUUGUCUCCUAUAAACAUGUAAAUUUCUAUGGAGUACAUUGGGUUUGUACGAACACACCAAAUAGGGAAGAUAGAUAUUGCAAGAGGCAUAAGUACUUAGAAACUAAAUUGUCAACAAAGGUUAGAUGAAUGUUCUGAAAAUUUAAAUUAUAUUGGCCAUACUUGUGAGCUUUGUAAUGAACAUGAUCAUUUCAAUACCCAAUGCAAAUUGUUUCAUGAUCGUAUCGUGUCCAAAAAUUGUGAUGACUUGAUUUCCAUUGCACAUCAUAAUGAACUUAGUUUGCUUAUGAGUUACGAAGAAAUGAAACAUAUAACUAAUUAUCUUCCAGAAUUUGCCCGUUAUAAACUUCUUGGAUUUGAUCUAGAGGAAAUUUAUAUGUAUUGUGCGGUGAAUUGUAUUGAAAAUACUUAUAUUGCCAACUACAUAAAGAAAAGAAAACAAAUAGAAGAUGAAGAGAAUACUAAUGAAAGGGAAGAGACUUCCCAAUAUCCUCCUAUUAUUUCUUAUGAUGAAUCAGGUAACGAGGAGGAGCCUCCUAUUCAACCAAUCUCAUUAAUAAGGAGCUCCAAAAAGAGGAUUGAACCCACACAUGAUGUGGUGAAGAAAAAGAAAAGAAAAAGGAAGAGAGGUAAAAAGACAUCUCUCCCAAAUAGUGCUACUCCUAUUACUAUUGUGCGUCAUGAAAAUAUGAUUAUGGAAGAUAAUGAUACUUCUUAUGAUCUUGAAAAUCUUUUUGGCACUUGCUUGGAAGAAUAUGAUAAUUGCUAUAUUAUUGGUGCUAUCCAUACUAUUAAUGAUGACAGUGAUUAUACUUAUGAUAUGAAAAGGCCCAAGCUUGGGGAUGCUGUUUGAUGAAGAUGAUGUUUUUGAGAAUAUAUUUGCUGCAAUUAAUGUUUGUCCCAAGCUUGGGGAAGCUAUGAUUAAUGAAGAUGAUAUUUUUAGUAUCCCAAGUUUUGAUAUGCAAGUUUAUAAUGAUGAUAGCAUGCCUCCUACUUAUGAUGAUUAUUGUGAUGAUACUUAUGCUAUAAAAAGUAGUGAUUAUAUUUAUAAAAUUUGUCAUGAUUAUGGUUACCCCUUCUCUGAACAUUACUCUUUUAAUGUGGACACAAUUUAUAGUAUUCGAUUUUCCUAUGAUACUCCCACUAUUCCGAAUGAGAAGAAUUUUGCUUAUGUGGAGAGUAAUAAAUUUUCUAUGCUUGUAGAUCAUGAAAAGAAUGCUUUAGGUACUGGUUAUAUUGUUGAAUUCAUUCAUGAUGCUACUGAAAAUUAUUAUGAGGAAUGAAUUUAUGCUUGUAGGAAUUGCAAUAAUAUUAAGUUUCCUCUCUAUGUGCUUAAAGUUUUGAAGUUAUGCUUGUUUUACCUUCCUAUGCAAGUUGAUUAUUGUUCCCAAAAGUUGUUUGCUCACAAAAUCCCUAUGCAUAGGAAGUAUGUUAGACUUAAAUGUGCUAGUAAUAUUCUUCAUGAUGCUAUCUUUAUGUUUCAAUUCUUAUCCUUUAUGUGAGCAUCAUUGUCAUUAUCAUGCCUAGCUAGGGGCGUUAAACGAUAGCGCUUGUUGGGAGUCAACCCAACUUUAUUUUAGUUCCUGUUUAGUAAUAAAAAAUUCAUCUAGCCUCUGUUUAGAUGUGGUUUUAUGGUUUUAAUUAGUGUUUGUGCCAAGUAGAACCUUUGGGAAGACUUGGGGAAAGUCUUGUUGAUCAUGCUGUAAAAAACAGAAACUUUAGCGCUCACGAGAACUGCUGCCAUUUUUAUUUGGAAAGUGGUAUUUAGUUAAUGCUUUUUGAAUAUGAUUAAUAGAUAAAUUACUCAGGUCCAGCAAUUUAUUUGAUAAUUUUAUGAGUUCCCGAAGUACACGUUUGAUCCAGAUCACUACCGACUGUUCUGUUUUUGACAGAUUCUGUUUUCGUGUGUUGUUUGCUUAUUUUAAUGAAUCUAUGGCUAGUAAAAUAGUUUAUAAACCAUAUAUAAGUUGGAAUACAAUAGGUUUAACACCAAUAUAAAGAAAUAAUGAGUUCAUUACAGUACCUUGAAGUGGUGUUUUGCUUUCUUUCGCUAACGGAGCUUACGAGUUUUCUGUUAAGUUUUAUGUUGUGAAGUUUUCAAGUUUUGGGUAAGGAUUCAAUGGAUUACGGAAUAAGGAGUGGCAAGAGCCUAAGCUUGGGGAUGCCCAAGGCACCCCGAGGUAAUAUUCAAGGAUAUCCAAGAGCCUAAGCUUGGGGAUGCCCCGGAAGGCACCCCCUCUUUCGUCUUCGUUCAUCGGUAACUUUACUUGGAGCUAUAUUUUUAUUCGCCACAUGAUAUGUGUUUUGCUUGGAGCGUCAUUUUAUUUUAUUUAGUUUUGCUUGCUGUUUGAAUAGAAUACCAAGAUCUGAAAUUAUUAAAUGUUAGAGAGUCUUCACAUAGUUGCAUAAUUAUUCGACUACUCACUGAUCUUCACUUAUAUCUUUCGGAGUAGUUUGUCAUUUGCUCUAGUACUUCACUUAUAUCUUUUAGAGCACGGUGGUGGUUUUAUUUUGUAGAAAUAGAUGAACUCUCAUGCUUCACUUAGAUUAUUUUGAGAGUCUUAAAUAUCAUGGUAAUUUUCUUAAAAUCCCAAUAUGCUAGGUAUUCAAGAUUAGUAAAAAAAAAAUCUUAUGAGUGUGUUGAAUACUAAGAGAAGUUUGAUGCAUGAUGAUUGUUUUGAGAUAUGGAGGUAAUAAUAUCAAAGUCAUGCUAGUUGAGUAGUUGUGAAUUUGAGAAAUUCUUGUGUAGAAGUUUGCAAGUCCUGUAGCAUGCACGUAUGGUAAACGUUAUGUAACAAAUUUGAAACAUGAGGUGUUAUUUGAUUGUCCUCCUUAUGAGUGGCGGUCGGGGACGAGCGAUGGUAUUUUCCUACCAAUCUAUCCCCCUAGGAGCAUGCGCGUAGUGCCGAGGUUUUUGAUGACUUGUAGAUUUUUGCAAUAAGUAUGUGAGUUCUUUAUGACUAAUGUUGAGUCCAUGGAUUAUACGCACUCUCACCCUUCCAUCCAUGCUAGCCUCUUCGGUACCGUGCAUUGCCCUUUCUCACAUUGAGAGUUGGUGCAAACUUCAUCGGUGCAUCCAAACCCCGUGAUAUGAUACGCUCUGUCACACAUAAACCUCCUUUAUCUUCCUCAAAACAGCCACCAUACCUACCUAUUAUGGCAUUUCCAUAGCCAUUCCGAGAUAUAUUGCCAUGCAACUUUCCAUCAUUCCUUUCAUCAUGACACAUUCAUCAUUGUCAUAUUGCUUAGCAUGAUCAUGUAGUUGACAUAGUAUUUGUGGCAAAGCCACCGUUCAUAAUUCUUUCAUACAUGUCACUCUUGGUCCAUUGCAUAUCCCGGUACACCACCGGAGGCAUUCAUAUAGAGUCAUCUUUUGUUCUAGUAUCGAGUUGUAAUCAUUGAGUUGUAAAUAAAUAGAAGUGUGAUGAUCAUCAUCAUUUUCUAGAGCAUUGUCCCAAGUGAGGAAUAAAUAAAUAAAAAGAGAAAGGCCAUAAAAAAAGAAGGCCCAGAAUAGAGAGAAAGGCCAUAAAAAAAGAGAAAGGCCCAAAAGAAAAAAAAAGAAGAAAAAAAUGAGAGAAAAAGAGAGAAGGGACAAUGUUACUAUCCUUUGCCACACUUGUGCUUCAAAGUAGCACCAUGAUAUUCAUAGUAGAGAGUCUCUCAUGUUAUCACUUUCAUAUACUAGUGGGAAUUUUUCAUUAUAGAACUUGGCUUGUAUAUUCCAACAAUGAGCCUCCUCAAGUACCCUAGGUCUUCAUGAGCAAGUAAGUUGGAUGCACACCCACUUAGUUUCUUUUGUUGAGCUUCCAUACAUUUAUAGCUCUAGUGCAUCCGUUGCAUGGCAAUCCCUACUCCUUGCAUUAACAUCAAUCGAUGGGCAUCUCCAUAGCCCAUUGAUUAGCCUCGUUGAUGCGAGACUUUCUCCUUUUUGUCUUCUCCACAUAACCCCCUCAUUAUAUUCUAUUCCACCCAAAGUGUUAUGUCCACGACUCGCGCUCAUGUAUUGCGUGAAAGUUUAUAGGUUUGAGAUUACUAAAGUAUGAAACAAUUGCUUGGCUUGUCAUCGGGGUUGUGCAUGAUGAGAGCAUUCUUGUGUGACGAAAAUGGAGCAUGACUAAACUAUAUGAUUUUGUAGGGAUGAACUUUCUUUGGCCAUGUUAUUUUGAGAAGACAUAAUUGCUUAGUUAGUAUGCUUGAAGUAUUAUUAUUUUUAUGUCAAUAUGAAGUUUUGUCUUGAAUCUUAUGGAUCUGAAUAUUCAUGCCACAAUUAAGAAGAAUUACAUUGAAAUUAUGCCAAGUAGCACUCCACAUCAAAAAUUCUGUUUUUAUCAUUUACCUACUCGAGGACGAGCAGGAAUUAAGCUUGGGGAUGCUAAUACGUCUCCAACGUAUCUAUAAUUUUUGAUUGCUCCAUGCUAUAUCAUCUACUGUUUUGGAUGUUUAUGGGCUUUAUUAUACACUUUUAUAUCAUUUUUGGGACUAACCUCUUAACCCAGAACCCAGUGCCAGUUUCUGUUUUUACCUUGUUUUAGGGUUUCAAAGAAAAGGAAAAUCAAACGGAGUCCAAUUGACCUGAAACUUCACGGAACUCAUUUUUGGAAGGAAAGAAGCCCAGAAGACUUGAAGUGCACGUAAGGGAAGCUUUGAGGAGGCCAUGAGGUAGGGGGCGCGCCCACCCCCCUAGGGCGCGCCCUCCACCCUCGUGGGCCCCUCGUGGCUACCCUGACGUACUUCUUCCGCCUAUAUAUCUCCAUAUACCCUAAAACUUCCGGAGAGCACAAUAGAUCGGGAGUUCCGCCGCCAGAAGCCUCCGUAGCCACCGAAAGCCAAUCUAGACCCGUUCCGGCACCCUGCCGGAGGGGGCAAUCCCUCUCCGGUGGCCAUCUUCAUCAUCCCGGUGCUCUCCAUGACGAGGAGGGAGUAGUUCUCCCUCAGGGCUGAGUGUAUGUACCAGUAGCUAUGUGUUUGAUCUCUCUCUCUCGUGUUCUUGAGGUGAUACGAUCUUGAUGUAUCACGAGCUUUGCUAUUAUAUUUGGAUCCUAUGAUGUUUCUUCCCCCCUCUACUCUCUUGUGAUGGAUUGAGUUUCCCCUUUGAAGUUAUCUUAUCGGAUUCAGUCUUUAAAGAUUUGAGAACACUUGAUGUAUGUCUUGCCGUGCAUAUCUGUGGUGACAAUGGGAUACCACAUGAUUCACUUGAUGUAUGUUUUGGUGAUCAACUUGCGGGUUCCGCCCAUGAACCUAUGCAUAGGGGUUGGCACACGUUUUCGUCGUGAUUCUCCGGUACAACUUUGGGGCACUCUUUGAGGUCCUCUGUGUUGGUUGAAUAAAUGAAUCUGAGAUUGUGUGACGCAUAUCAUAUAAUCAUACCCACGGAUACUUGAGGUGGCAUUGGAGUAUCUAGGUGACAUUAGGGUUUUGAUUGAUUUGUGUCUUAAGGUGUUAUUCUAGUACGAACUCUAGGGCUGUUUGUGACACUUAUAGGAAUAGCCCAACGGAUUGAUUGGAAAGAAUAACUUUGAGGUGGUUUCGUACCCUACCAUAAUCUCUUCGUUUGUUCUCCGCUAUUAGUGACUUUGGAGUGACUCUUUGUUGCAUGUUGAGGGAUAGUUAUGUGAUCCAAUUAUGUUAUUAUUGUUGAGGGAACUUACACUAGCGAAAUUAUGAACCCCAGGCCUUGUUUCCUAUCAUUGCAAUACCGUUUAUGCUCACUUUUAUCACUUGCUACCUUGCUGUUUUCAUAAUUUCAGAUUACAAUAACCUUUAUCUACUAUCCAUAUACCACUUGUAUCACCAUCUCUUCGCCGAACUAGUGCACCUAUACAAUUUACCAUUGUAUUGGGUGUGUUGGGGACACAAGAGACUCUUUGUUAUUUGGUUGUAGGGUUGCUUGAGAGAGACCAUCUUCAUCCUACGCCUCCUAUGGAUUGAUAAACCUUAGGUCAUCCACUUGAGGGAAAUUUGCUACUGUCCUACAAACCUCUGCACUUGGAGGCCCAACAACGUCUACAAGAAGAAGGUUGUGUAGUAGACAUCAGUUCGCUCGCCGCGGCGCCGCCCUCCGGUGUUGUCAACAUGGUCAACAACCGAGAGGAAUAAGGAGAUGACUGUACAUGGUGAGGAUGACAGUAGGGACCCAGCAGCGCGCGCAGUAAUUUUGUUUUUUCGGGACAGAGAAGGGUAUCAACUGGGUUGUGCGGGACCCGUGGCCCGUCUAGCCCAGGCUUUUAUUUCAUAUGUUUAGCACAUGACCAGCCCAGUUUGUUUUUUCCUUUUUGAAAAUGGCUAGCCAGCUAUUUUGUUUUUUGCAGAAUAACCAACGUAGGCCUACUUGCUUUUCUACGCCCUGCUGGGCUGGAAAUCUUUCAAGACGAGGAGGGAUGCAGUUUGCCCAGAAAAUGAGCUAUAAGUAAUAACAAAUGGGCUAUAAUUAAUAAGAAAUGGGGCUGUAAAAUGAAAAAAUAAAGCAAACAGGCAAUUAGUUCCAAAAUACUGUUUUCUUUCGGAUUUUGAUAUUUUAAAUUUCAUUGUUUUUGUGUGGGUAAAAUUUCAUUGAAUUUAAAUUAAGGUAUAUUUAGAUUUAAAAUUAAUUUGAAUCUGGCUAGAAAUUUUGGGAUGUAUGCUGUUUGGGACAGAUUUGGAGGCUGACUUGUGGGUCUACUAGGUUGACAUGUACUUUGGCUUUGUCAACUUAGUCCAUAAACUAUUCUAGCAGCAGUGACCGUGGGAUGUUAAUCCAACGGCCGUGCUGCUUCUUCAAUAUCUGAUCUUCUUGCUCCAGCCGCCCAAACCAGCUCCGGUGGGACUGCCUGCUCCCGCCUCAUGUGGUCGGUUGUGCUGCCGCACAUGCCGCACUGCCCCACCCUACUUCAUUGUUGGCCAGGCCAUUCCUCUACUCACCCACACCUCCUGUUAUUUUCCAGCGACGGCAGCCCGACCAGUAAACCCUCGUACUCCCCACCACGUGGGCACCCAUUGCCGAGUCUUCCCCGGCUCCGUGUCAUUCCCUUCCUAGGCCUCGCCGUCGUCCACCGCCAUGGUGCUCUCGGCGUGGCCUGGUCAACGUGGUCAACACGACAUCCAUCGGCUGUGGACUGUAUGCGCAAAAUAAUGAUUCCUUCACUUGACAGCUGGGACCCACGGGAAGGGCCUCUGUAUUUCGCAAAAAAACGUUCCCCCCGCUGACAUGUCGGACCCACCAGCUAUAUCUUCGCACGCAAGGAAGUGCCUACUUAUUACGCACAAAAAAUGAAUACCCCCUGCUAGCUGGGACCCACCAUUGUGGGAGGCUGACUUGUGGGCCUACUAAGUUGACGGGGACGAAGGGCUUUGUCAACUUAGUCAAUAUGAACGAUUCUAGCUCCAGUGACCGUACGAUGUCCAUCCAACGGCCGUAGUGCUUCUUCAACCUCUGGUCUUCUUGCUCCAGCCGCCCAAAGCAGCAUCGGUCGUGCCGCAUGCUCCUGCCUCCCGUGGCCGGCUGUGCUGCCGUGGAGGCCUCACCGCCCCUACUAUUCCCACUGCUGGCCAGGCCCUGCGGUGACGGCAGCCUCACACCGCAGCCGAACUAGUGAACCCUCGUACUCCUCUCCACGCGAACUUCCACUGCCGUGUCUUCCCCGGCUCCGCGUCGUCCCCUUCCUAGGCCUCGCCGUCGUCCAUCGCCGUGGUGCUUUCUGCGCGGCGUGGUCAACGUGGUCAAGGAACGACUUCCAUCGGAAGAGUACUGUACGUGGAGAGGCUGACAGCUGGGUCCACGGCCACAGCCCAGUUUUUUUGUGAUUUGCCAAGUGAGUCGCUUUGUCAGGCCUGUUGGGCUGCAAAUCUUUCAAGAUGAGAAGAGCUUUCAUUCGGAUGGCCGAGAAAAUGGCCCAUCAGUAAUGAGAAAUGGGAUGUGCCUUUUUAAAACACAUUAAACCGGCAAUUAGUUUCAAAUAUCUUUUUUUUCAUUUCGAGAUUUUAAAUUACAUUAGUUUUUAUGCGUGGAGAAUUUAUUGGAUUUUACAUUGAUAUACAUUUAUUUUUAAAAUCAGUUUGAAUGUGAGUCAAAAUUUCGGGAUUAAAAACAGUUCGGACGGCACCGAAAUAUGCAAAAUUUCGUAUAAUUUUUUAACCGUGGCCACAAUAUGGGCUGUAAGGCCAACUCCACCGUGCGACCCCAAACAAAUGUCCGUUUUGUCCAGAUUCUGUCCGUUUGGGUAGCGAUUUGGGGUCGUGUCCGGGCAUGUCCUUGGAUGCGGUGGCCGUGCGCCCAGCGCGCGGCCGCAUCCUUUUGCCCUAUCCUGUCCGUGUCUAUUUAAAAAACUAGUAGCAACAUUUCAAAUGCCAAGCCCUAGUUCAGGCCAGCGGCCCCGGUUCAUCACGCCGGCAAUAGAGCCAGCGGCCUACAUGUCCAUCGCCGACAUCAGCCAGCGGCCAGCAACACAGCCAGCCUCCAAAAUGAUUAGUUGUCCUCGCCGGCAACACAGCGGGCCACCAAAAUGAAUGUUUUCUCGCCGGCACACAUCCAGCGGCCCAGCGGGCGGGCGGCACCCAUGCUAGCCUCCAAAAAGAACGGCCAUGGCCGAUCGGACGACCUAGUUCAGGCCUUCGGCGUUGAGCAUCUCCUUCUGCCUGGCCUCGAACUAGGCCCUCGUCUUGUCGCUCAUCUUCGACAAGUCCACGCUCAUGAUCGCAAGGGCCACCUCCUUCGCUUUGGUGGCGGCGUUCGUGGCCUCGAUGUCGAGCUGCCUUUGCCUGGCCUUGACGUUCUCAGCCUCGAUGUCGAGCUACCUUUGCCGGGCCGCCUCCUUCAUGUCGAUCUUCCUCCUCUUGGCUGCCUCCUCCAUCUCAAGCUUCUUUGUUUGAAGGUCUAGGUAUUGCUUCAUUUGCUCCUCCUUGCUUUGCCGCUUCUUCUCGUCCCUCACAUCCUUUUGGGACAUCAUGCCAUGCAAAGUGUCAUGCAAUGCCAUGGAUGAGGCAUCACGUAUGUCAUCAACCUUGGAAUUGGUCUUGCUUCUCGGCCUCUUCAAGGCCUCGCCAUCUCCACCUCCGGCGUACUUGGCCGUCUUUAGUCCUCUCUUCCUUUGUAGUUCACAGUAUUGGUCCUUGAACUUAGGGCAAUUGUUGAUAAUCAUCCAACAAUGCGUAAGAGUGAAUGGCUUGUCAUUGUGACGGGCCUUGAAUGCCUCCAAAGAUUGAAAUGCCUAAAUCACAUGAUCAACAACAAGUGAACAUGCAAACAUAUGCACGGCCGAAGUGUCAUGGCCGUAGCAAGGAAAGGGCUAGGAAGAGGAGAGCAUACCAUGUCCCCAACGCCGAGACCACUCACGGGUCAUGCUUCAACGCUCUCUAAUGCGGCGCAAUACUUGUUGCACUCUUGUUGGAUGAACAACCAUCUUUUUUGAAUCGAGCCGAUGCCACGGUUGCUUGUAAAUUGGUAGGGCUCAAACAUCUUCCUUUCAUGGAAUGUUUUGUGGACUCUCGUCCAAAAACCAAUGCCCUUUUGUUGCGCGCCGGUCCUCGGAUCUUGGCUAAUCUCCAUCCAAGCUUGGCAAAUCAACUUGUCCUCAUCUUGUGUGUAUGAACCCAUGCGAAUGCUCUUCCUCUUCUUUUGUGCUUCCGCUCUUUGGGUGAGCUCAUUGAUGAACAAUGGCUCGCCACUAAUAUCAACGUCAUUGCCUUCUUCUUCAUCACCUUCGACAUAGAUGUCAUCGUCUUCAUGCCAUGAGUCACCAUGGUCGUAGUUAGCACGGUCGUCGGCCUCUUCAUCGGGCACGUACUUAGUGCGACCAUCCUGACUUUGGGUCUCCUCGGGGUCGUAGGCACGGCCAUGCCCACUCUCGAAGAUCACGUCCUCCAUGUACUGGCUGUAGAAGGCGUCGUCGACCGUUAGCGUUGGGGUUGGCAUUCCGUCAAACAAGACGCGGGGGGCCGACAUGGUGCCCGUGAAUGGUGCCCGUGCCUGCUUUCUUAGCAUCUCGACGGACGGCCGCCAGCCGCUGCUGGACCCAGGCGUGACGUUGAGGUAGAUGACGGUUGCGGGGCGCGGUGUGGACGGCGCGAACAAGCCCACGUCCGGCGACGCAGAGAAACAGGUCUGGUCGUCGUGCCUUGGCGGAGGAAAGCCGGGGGAGAUGGGCGCGGCGCGCGACGUCGGCUACUAGCAGUGCGUAGGCCGGGCGACCGACGAGCCUGUGCUCGCCGGGCCGACGGCCGCUGCAGGGAACCCGGCCGGACGGCCCAUGCCGCCAAGCAUUAGGAUGGCAUGCGCUUUGUUGACGAGGUCCUCCUUCUCGACGGCAGCGGCCUUGCGCCGCGCGGCCUCUAGCUCCUCGCGUUGGGCGGCGAACUUGGAAGCGGCGGCAUUGACCUUGACGGCCGCUCUCCGUUCCCUCCUCUUCGCCGAUUCCGCGUCCAACUUGGCGAUCUCCUCUGGUGUGCACUCCGACCGUGGCUUCCUUGGCGCCUUCUUCUUCACCUUUGUGGGCGGGUCAACGGCCAGGCCACCGGAACUCGGCGGGGCGUCGGCCAUGGCCGGGGGAGAGAGGGGCGGCGGGAGGGACGUGGAAGGGUUUGGGGAAAAUGGCGGCAAAUGGGCGUGGGUGGGUUUUGGUUUCUCCCACCGACAGGCGGGCCAGGGGAGGACAAGCGCGCGCGUCCCGCCCGUCCGCGCGCUGUCCGUUUCACCCCAAAACCGGCGCAAACUUGGGCCGGGGAUGGGUCGGAAGCGGGCACAAAGCGGACAAAAGUCCGUUUGCGCCCGUGCAAUGGGCCGUCUCGUUUGUCCGUUUUACCCCAAACGGACGAGGGCGGACAGGAUAGGGUCGCGCGGUGGAGUUGGCCUAACGCUAACAAAAAGAAUAUGGGCUCCAAAAAAACCUUAAGAAUUAGCAAAUGGGCUGUAAAUUAUUAGAAAUAAUGCCAGAUGGGAUGUAUGCUGUUUUCCAAAGAUUUGAGGCUUUCCUAAAAAAAGGUUGACACACAAGCAGUGACUGUUGGAUGUCCAUCGAACGGCUGUCGUGCUUCUUCAAUCUCUGCUCUUCCUGGUCCAGCCGCUCAAACAAGCGCCGGCGAGACUGCUUGCUCCCUCCUUCCCGCGGCCGGCUGUGCUGCCGCGCAGGCCUCACCGCCCCACCGUACUCCCAUCGCUGGCCUAGCCAUCCCUCUACUCACCCACACCUGCUGUUAUUCUCCGAUGACGGCAGACGAACCAGUAAACCCUCAUACAGUCAUACUCCCCUCCGCAUGGGAAACAACUGCCGAGUCUUCCCUGCCUCCAUGUCGUUCCCUUCCUAGGCCUCGCCGUUGUCCACCGCCCUGGUGUUCUUGGCGCUGCCUGGUCAACGACCGACAUGCAUCUGAAGUGGACUGUACGUGGAGAGGCCGACAGCUGGGUCCACGGCCGCACGCAAGGAAAUGCCUCCUUAUUACACGCAAAAUAAUGAUUCCUCCACCUGACAUCAGGGACCCACCGAAAGGGCCUCUGUAUUUCGCGAAAAAAAUGUUACCGCCGCUGACAGCUCGGGCCCACCAGCUAUAUCUUCGCACGCAAGGAAGUGCCUCCUUAUUACACACAAAAAAAUGAAUACUGCCCUAUUAGCUGGGACCCAGUAUAGUGGCAGGCUGACUUGUGGGCCUACUAAGUUGACGGGGACGGAGGGCUUUGUCAACUUAGUCAAUAUGCAUGAUUCUAGCUCCAGUGACCGUACGAUGUUCAUCCAACGGCCGUAGUGCUUCUUCAACCUCUGGUCUUCUUGCUCCAGCCGCCCAAAUCAGCGCCGGUCGUGCCUCGUGCUCCUGCCUACCGUGGCCGGCUGCGAUGCGGCGGAGGCCUCACCGCCCCCUACUACUCCCACCGCUGGUCAGGCCAUCCCUCUACUCACCCACACCCCCUGUUAUUCUGUGGCGACGGCAGCCUCACACCGCAGCGAACCAGUGAACCCUCGUACUCCUCUACGCGUGGGCAUCCACUGCCGCGUCUUCCCCGGCUCCACGUCGUCCCCUUACUAGGCCUCACCGUCGUCCACCCCCCUGGUGCUCUCGACGCGGCGUGGUCAACAUGGUCAAGGAACGGCUUCCAUCGGACAUGGACUGUACGUGAAGAGGCUGACAGCUGGGUCCACGGCCGCAGCAAGGAAGUGCCUCCUUAUUGCGUGCAAAAUAAUUAUUUCUCCAUCUGACAGCGGUGACCCACCGGACGGGCCACCGUAUUUCACGAAAAAAACGUUUGCCCCUGACUGCUGGGACCCACCGGCUACAUCUUCACACGCAAGGAAGUUCGUCCGGGCAAAAAAAAUGAUUCGCCCCCUGACUGCUAGGACCCACCAGCUACAUCUUCGCAGGCAAGGAAGUGCCUGACAGUCGGGACCCACCUGGUCGAAGCGUACGUAGCGUUGUCAUUCUGGUCGCGAACGUGUACGUACAUAUAUACUGGUGGAUGUAGAGGCGCGCACGUGUCGUAGUAGAGGCGCAUACGUGUCGUAGUAGAGGCGCGCACGUAGCAUGUACACGUACGUACAGCGCCCAGGGUGCAAGAAAGAAAAUACGGCCACGUAUGUGUACAUACGGGCGGGGUCUCGAACGCCUACUCGCGCAUACGUACGGCCAGGGCUCGUGUACAUGGCUGGGUCGUAACGCAGAAAUAGCAUCAUCGUCGUGUUCAUGGGGAGGCAACGGAAUGCGUCGUGUUCAUCGGGAGGCAACGGAAUGCGUCGUGUUCAUCGGGCGGCAACGGAACGCGUGGGAGCCAACCGACUAGGUCGGAACGGAAUGCGUGGUCGUGUUUAUUGGGAGGGUUUGGACGGAACAGGCGAUGGAAACAAGGCCUGGCGUACCGCACAACGGAGGAAACAGACCUCCUACAUUCGGAACAGGGUCCUGUUGAUCGGGAGAGGUCUGGCGUAUCGCAAAACGGAGGAAACGGACCUCCUACGGUCGAAACGGGGGUCCUAUUAAUCGAGAGGGGUGUGGCAUACCGCAAAACGGACGAAACGGACGUCCUACGGUCGAAACGAGGGUCCUAUUGAUCGGGAGGUGUGUGGCGUACCGCAAAACGGGACUCCACGGAAUAAUGUUCAUCUCCACCGUCGACCUCCUCCAGCCUCCACGGGCUACCGUCGACCUCCUCCAGCCUCCACGGGCUCCUGUUCAUCCAGCCUCCACCGCGCGCUACUCUACCGGCUACUGUUCAACCACCCCUUCACGGGCACCCCUCCAUCGUCUACUGUUCAUCCAGCCCUCCACACCACGGGGUCCUAUUCAACNNNNNNNNNNNNNNNNNNNNNNNNNNNNNNNNNNNNNNNNNNNNNNNNNNNNNNNNNNNNNNNNNNNNNNNNNNNNNNNNNNNNNNNNNNNNNNNNNNNNNNNNNNNNNNNNNNNNNNNNNNNNNNNNNNNNNNNNNNNNNNNNNNNNNNNNNNNNNNNNNNNNNNNNNNNNNNNNNNNNNNNNNNNNNNNNNNNNNNNNNNNNNNNNNNNNNNNNNNNNNNNNNNNNNNNNNNNNNNNNNNNNNNNNNNNNNNNNNNNNNNNNNNNNNNNNNNNNNNNNNNNNNNNNNNNNNNNNNNNNNNNNNNNNNNNNNNGCAUCGAUCGGCUUCAGUUAGCAGCAGUAGCGAAGGAAUCGCUCGAUCGGGUUCAGUUAACAGCCAUCGAUCGAUCGCUCGGGUUCAAUAACGUGUAGCCUGCAGUGCAAUCGCUCGGGUUCAGUUAGAGCCCAACGCCUCUCUCGGAUUCAGUUAGAGCCAACGCCUCGCACACACGCGCGUAUGUGUACGAGAGAAACGCGCAUCGCUCGGCCCCGACCUCCCACCGUAACCGGGAACUCCCUGAAAUUUUCAUCGCCCUCGCUUCUACCACGGUUUUUUCCGUCAUGGACGGUCCAAAGAAUGUCAUGCAGCUGCGUCUCCGGCCCACCCAGGACGAAAAGCCCAUUUUCUGUCAUGAUUUUUUGUCAUAGAAGUAGGAGCCCACCACAUCUAUGAUGAUACCGGGUUUUGUCACAAUUAUCGUCAUAGAAGUGUCAUAUGUAUGACAGGAGAAAAAUUCGUUCGGCCCAAAAUGUCACGGAUGUGUCUUUUUUUGUAGUGCUUUGCCUUUAUUUUACUUUGCAUCUUUAUCAUAAAAAUAUCAAAAAUAUUAUCUUAUCAUAUCUAUCAGAUCUCACUCUCGUAAGUGGCCUUAUAGGGAUUGACAACCCUAUUUGCGUUGGUUGUGAGGAUUUAUUUGUUUUGUGCAGGUACGAGGGACUCGCGCGUAGCCUCCUACUGGAUUGAUACCUUCGUUCUCAAAAACUGAGGAAAAUACUUACACUAUUUUGCUGCAUCAUCCCUUCCUCUUCGGGGAAAACCAACGUAGUGCUCAAGAGGUAGCAAUGGGUACUUGGUAUGUCUUGACUUGUGCGUAGACUCCCCGACAACGGCGCCAGAAAUCCUUCUUGCUACCUCUUGAGCACUGCGUUGGUUUUUUCUUGAAGAGGAAAGGGUGAUGCAGCAGAGUAGCAUAAGUAUUUUCCUUAGUUUUUAAGAACCAAGGUAUCAAUCCAGUAGGAGGCCAUACGCAAGUCCCUUGUACCUGCAUAAACAAAUAAGAACCUUGCAACCAACGCGAUAAAGGGGUUGUCAAUCCCUUCACGACCACUUGCAAAGUGAGAUCUGAUAGAGAUGAUAAGAUAAUAUUUUUGGUAUUUUUAUAAUAAAGAUUAAAAGUAAAGAUUGCAAAAUAAACGGUGCCAGAAAUAACUUGUCGACAGGAGAUUAAUAUAAUAGAGAAUAGACCCGGGGGCCAUAGGUUUCACUAGUGGCUUCUCUCAAGGUAGCAUAAGUAUUACGAUGGGUGAACAAAUUACUGUCGAGCAAUUGAUAGAAAAGCGAAUAAUUAUGAGAAUAUCUAGGCAUGAUCAUGUAUAUAGGCAUCACGUCUGUGACAAGUAGACCGACUCCUGCCUGCAUCUACUACUAUUACUCCACACAUCGACCGCUAUCCAGCAUGCAUCUAGAGUAUUAAGUUCAUAAGAACAGAGUAACGCAUUAGGUAAGAUGACAUGAAAUAAACCCCAUCUUUUUAUCCUCGAUGGCAACAAUACAAUACGUGUCGUUUCCCUUUCUGUCACUGGAUCGAGCAACGCAAGAUUGAACCCAAAGCUAAGCACUUCUCCCAUUGCAAGAAAGAUCAAUCUAGUAGGCCAAACCAAACUGAUACUUCAAAGAGACUUGCAAAGAUAACAAAUCAUACAUAAAAGAAUUCAGAGGAGAUUCAAAUAUUGUUCAUAGAUAAUCUUGAUCAUAAACCCACAAUUCAUCGGAUCUCGACAAACACACCGCAAAAAAGAGUUACAUCGAAUAGAUCUCCAAGAAGAACGGGAAGAACUAUGUAUUGAGAUCCAAAGAGAGAGAAGAAGCCAUCUAGCUAAUAACUAUGGACCCGAAGGUCUGAGGUAAACUACUCACACAUCAUCGGAGAGGCUAUGGUGUUGAUGUAGAAGCCCUCCGUGAUCGAUGCCCCCUCCGGCGCCUCCGGCGGAGCGCCAGAAAAGGCCCCAAGAUGGGAUCUCACGGGUACAGAAGGUUGCGGCGGUGGAAAUAGGGUUUCGUGGUGCUCCUGAAUGUUUUCAGGGUAUAUGAACAUAUAUAGGAGGAAGAAGUAGGUCGGUGGAGCCACGAGGGGCCCACGAGGGGGGAGGGCGCACCCCCUGCCUCUUGGCCACCUCAUUGAUUGCUUGACGUCUACUCCAAGUCCUCCGGAUCACGUUUGUUCCAAAAAUAACUCUCCUGAAGGUUUCAUUCCGUUUGGAUUCCGUUUGAUAUUCCCUUUCUGCGAAACACUGAAAUAGGAAAAAAAAAAACAAUUUGCACUGGGCCUUGGGUUAAUACUUUAGUCCCAAAAAAAUAUAAAAGUGUAUAAUGAAGCCCAUUAAACAUCCAAAACAGAAUAUGUAAUAGCACGAAACAAUCAAAAAUUAUAGAUACGUUGGAGACGUAUCAGCCCCCUCACUAUUUGCUUUAAAAAACAGUAGGUUGUCAUCUGCAAAUAACAAAUGGUUCACCGGUGGAGCCGAUGAAGCCACUUGUAUUCCGCCAAGACUGGAUCACCGAACUCUAGAUUUUAAAAGGCACGAAAGGCCCUAUACUGCCAGCAAAAAAAGGUGUGGUGAAAUCGGAUCCCCUGACGGAUACCUCGUGUUGGUUGAAAUUCAUCACGUUUCUGUCCAUUAAAGAUCACUAAAAAAGAAACUGAGGUGACCAUUCCCACAACUAUGUCCACCCAUCUCUAUGUUGCUCUUAUCACAUGUGUGCAUGCUCGUCAUGUGUGGGAGGCUCUACGUAUGAUAUGGCCCUUGCCAGAUGACUCAAGUCUUGUGGAUACGGAAAGGGUUGGCUGUUGCAAGUGCUAUCUAAUUGUCCAGAUCUUAUCCAUGACCGAGUAAUCAUGACUAUCUGGCGAAUUUGGCAGCUUCGUAAUGACAUAGCGCAUGGUAAAAAGGAGACCCCAGUGGAGGUGACUGUGCAAUUUUUGGACAGUUACUACAAAUCUCUAAAUCUUGUCAGCAAAUAUAGUAUGGAGGAAAAUAUAAAAGGAAAGAUGGUGAUGUAUGAUGACAGUCGGGUUUAUCAAGAAAAAAUGAACCUGGUCCCAAAGUUGUGGCCACCAUCGCUGUCGGGCUGGGUGGCACUUUCUGUUGAUGGCUCCUUUUCAAGCAUAGUUAGCCGGGCAGCGGCCGGAAUGGUCUUACGAAGGGAAGAUGGCUCGUUGAUUUUCACGGCAUGUAGAUACAUUUUUCAUUGCAAUAAUGCCCUGAAAGCGAAAAUAUAUGCGAUUAUGCAAGGGAUGGCACUGGUCAUUCAACAUUCGAAUUUUCCGAUGGUGGUACAAUCUGAUUCUCUUAAUGCUUUAGCUAUUAUUGCCGGCGAUACCUUGUCCAGGUCGACUUAUGGGCACUUAGCUGCUGAGAUUAGAGAAAAUAUGGCUGUUAGAGAGUUUGUUCCUCUAAAGAUUAGUAGGGAACAAAAUAAGGUAGCACAUCAAUUGGCAUUUUAUAGCCGUACCGAAGCUUGUACUGCAGUAUGGUUGAACUCGAUCUCUCCGUGUUGUGAGGACUUAUUGUCUCGAGAUUGUAACCCUAUCAUUACAGAAUAAAACUUUCUUUCACCAUGCAAAAAAAAAUCUCUGUGUGAAUUGAGCUUCGACAUAACGAGGCCUCAAAUGUACAGCAGUUCUAAUUGAGUGAGGUCCAAGAGUAAAAGAAACGGCCUGCCCGACGGCCCGGUGGCCACACACCGCUCGCCCACGACGGAGACGAUCUUUACACACACGGCCGCAAAGCGCAGCUAGACACGCACGCGGGCGGGCGGGUAGAUUCGCCUCGCCGGGACAGCCUCCCCCCCUUUCUGGCGGUGGGGGUGCGCGCUGACGUGGCGCUCUGUUUUUCCGGAGCAAUUUGAUUAUAUGACACACCUUUCCUGGGAGUUUGAUCCAGCGACACACUUUUCGUUUGAUUUGAUUAUAUGGCACACCUUUGAUUGAUAGCUAGAUUAAAUGACACAAAUUGAGUUUUUUCUCUCCUUUUCCAGGUAUUGGCCCGCAUAAGAUUAUUUUAGGACGGUUCUGCUCUCUCAUGCAUCGAUUCACUUGCCUGGUUCGAUCGAGCCUACGAAACCACACAGAGAGGUCAGACGAGGCGACGUACAGGAAGAUGAAGCACUGUACCGCCGCCUCGCCGGCUCCUGGCUUGGUCCCACCGCGCGCCGCCUCUCCCCAGCGCCUACCUCGCCGUGCAUCUUGCCCAACGUGCUGCUAAUUCCCCUCGGCCUCAUGUCCUGCUUCCUCUCCUCCCGUGACGAUCCAUGGGUUCUGCCGCCGCCGCCUCGCUCAUCAACGAUCUCACAGGUGGCAUCCCAUCCCUCCUCUCUCUCUCUCUCAUGGUGAAAAAAAACUGAAGUUUUUCUUCAAUUGUGUAUAACAUUUGUCGGUUUUUUAAUUCGACAAAUCGAUGCAUUAUGUAGGAAACUUUCUAUGGAAACAAGGACUCCCCACUUCCCCACCAAAAGUUGUUGUGAAGUCCACAAAGAAGAUCACACCGAGGAAGAGAAAAACAGUGUAUCAUACAUUCAAACUAGCAUGUCAUGUUGUGAUUUGUCAAUUAUGGAUUGUCAAGUCUGUCGGUACAUAUGCACCUUAUUCAGCUGAUUUUGUGGAUUCACAGAUAUAUUCUUGUGACAUAUGAAAAUGGUACAAACUAAGGAGAGAUCAUGUCAAGGUGAAAUGUCAAUUUUCUGAACAAAACUGUACAUCAAUUCGUGCUACAACCAUCAAGCAAGGGUUACAGUUAUAGUAGUUUGUUGCUGGCCGUAUGCUACUUCAGACAACAACAGCGUGCAGCUACAGAAGGCUUCAGCCAACAGCAAAACGCUAGCAGCGAAGACCUGCAGAGUUACUCCCUCCAUUCCAAAUUACUCGUCACUGAAAUAGAUGUAUCUAGAACUAAAAUACAUUUAAAUAUAUUCAUAUGUGCGAUAAGUAAUUCGGAACGGAGGAAGUAACAAACAGUUACAAAGCUAGCAACGAUGGCACGCUCUGGCGACGGCGCGGCCGUGACGGCGACGGGAAGGAGACACAGCGAGGUGGCGGGAGCCCCCAGGAAGAGCCACGGUGAGGUGCAGGCGCCGGGAAGGAGGCAUGCAUCAGGGUCACCUCGUUCCAUACGUAGAGCUCCCAUAUGUACGCGUGCAUGCAUGGAGCCUCUACAUGCAUGUACUGAUCGAGGCUGGCCUCCUGUGCGUGUUUCCGUUCGACCACGAAGGCUCGAUCGAACCGAAUCGGCGAGGGCAAAACCGUCCUCAAACAAAUUAUGUUCGGGCCAAUACCUGAAAAAGGAGAGAAAAAUUCAAUUUGUGCCAUUUAAUCUAGCUAUCAAUCAAAGGUGGGUCAUAUAAUCAAACCAAAAGAAAAGUGUGUCACUAGAUCAAACUUCCAGGAAAGGUGUGUCAUAUAAUCAAAUUGCUCGUUUUUCCGGCACCAACAAAAACCUCGCGCACCUCGUGCCUCUCCCCGUUCCUCCAUUUCUCCUCCCCUCCCCACCCCCAUCCCUUCCCCCCCUCCCGUAAUUCCCCACCCCUCGCCGCCGCCGCCGCCGCCGCAACCACCACCUACCUCCGCCCAAUUUCCUCGCCAGCCCGCGCGCCGGCCGCCUUCCCCCGCCCUCCGUUCCCGCCCGCCCGCCCGCACAUGUGCUUCGNNNNNNNNNNNNNNNNNNNNNNNNNNNNNNNNNNNNNNNNNNNNNNNNNNNNNNNNNNNNNNNNNNNNNNNNNNNNNNNNNNNNNNNNNNNNNNNNNNNNNNNNNNNNNNNNNNNNNNNNNNNNNNNNNNNNNNNNNNNNNNNNNNNNNNNNNNNNNNNNNNNNNNNNNNNNNNNNNNNNNNNNNNNNNNNNNNNNNNNNNNNNNNNNNNNNNNNNNNNNNNNNNNNNNNNNNNNNNNNNNNNNNNNNNNNNNNNNNNNNNNNNNNNNNNNNNNNNNNNNNNNNNNNNNNNNNNNNNNNNNNNNNNNNNNNNNNNNNNNNNNNNNNNNNNNNNNNNNNNNNNNNNNNNNNNNNNNNNCGACGCGCGAUGGUGGUGAGGUGGGUGGUUGCGUUUGCGCCGCGCCGGGGUGACCGCGACGGCGGAGACGGCGCGGGAGGGCGCAGCUAGGCGGGGAAGGCGUGGAUGGACGCCGAUGAUGCCGCCCGGAGCCGCAGAAGGAUGGAUCUGAACCUCUACCUCGGCCUCCCCCGCGCCCCGCGCCCGCGCCGCCCCGAUCUCGGCUCCGACCUCGCCCUCGGCAAUUCCAUGCUCUCCUCCUCGCCUUCCUCCUCCGCCGCCUCCGCGGACGCCCCGCCGCCCGACCGGGACCGGGACCGGGACCUGGACCCGCUCCACCCGCCCUACUCCCCCACCCGCGCCGACCUGAUGCGCCCGCCGCCCGAGCCAUACCACAUCUCCGCCUCCGUGCUGCGCGCGCCCUACCUCCAGGCCGAGGAGGUUCCCAUAACCGAGCUCGCCCAAGAGUUCGGCUUCUCGCACCCGCCCCCGCCACCCCCACCGCCGCCGCGGCCCAGCGAGCUGCUCGGCUGGGUCGACCGCCCCUCCUCCUCCACGGCCUCCUCCACCUUCCGCCCGGAGCGUUCCGAGCGCUACCGCCGCGCCAUCUCCAUGAAUGGCCGCCAGCUGCGCUGCCUCCGUCCCAGGCGCUUCCGCUCAGACCUUCCUCCUCUCAGCUCCGAGGCCCCUAGCCCGGACAACGAGGCUGCACUGGAACCGCCGCAACAGCAGCCCGUGCAGGAUGCCGUCGAGGAGAAUAAGGUGGUUGACAAUGGUGCCAUGGUGGGUGCCGAGGAUGAGCCGGCGGACCGUGGCAAGAGCACUGCCAUGUUUGAGUGCAACAUCUGCUUUGAGAUGGCCGACGAGCCGGUGGUCACUUCUUGCGGCCAUCUCUUCUGCUGGCCUUGUUUGUACCAGUGGCUGCAUAUUCAUUCCACCCACAAGGAAUGCCCUGUCUGCAAAGGUGAGGUCACUGAAGGAAACAUCACUCCUAUCUAUGGGAGAGGGAAUUCAACUUCCGAUGUGGAGAAGAAAGUCGCAGACGAUGGCAACGUGUCCAGUCCUAACAUUCCCGCCAGGCCACAUGGGAACCGGCUUGAGAGUUUUCGACAACAGUUCCAUCAUUUGCGCCCAAUUUCUCGUAGGCUUGGCGAGGCACAUGGGAUAUUAUCUUCUUGGAGACGCAUUCUUGAUCAGCAGAUUAUGACUAGCGCGAGUAGGUUUGAAGGGCCUCCAGAAUCAUCUGUCCAGGAGAUGAUAGAUCAUGCUCAUCAGACUGGCCGUUUAAGCCGAAUUACUACUAGGAUGAGAGCAAGGAGGUUGCAAAGGGAAGCAGAAAAUCCUGCAUUUGUUUCUUCAUCUAUUCCAGACGGCGGGAUGCCAGGAAGCAGCACGCCGGAUCCUCCUAGGCGUAGUUCAAGUCCACUUUCCUCGGAAGGAAUUGAUUUAUUGCAACGCCUUACCCUUGUUGGCCUUGCAAAUACGGAAAGGUUGGCAACUGCAGUGAGCGAUCUUAGAAGAAUAUCCAGGCCAAGCCUCCGAGCAUCAACUUCGUCAAAUUUACCAAAUCAUGAGCCGCCAGUUGAUGGAAUUCAUGCUGCUGCAGCACCGUCUGCAGAUCAAACUUCUAAUUCAAGCACAAUGGCUGUGAUUCAGGAGGAUGCUGCUUUUACUGAAAGCGUAGGAGAACCUAGCAAUGCAGGGUCCUCAAGAACCCUGAGGAGGAGGGGAAGAAGCGACGCCUUAGGUUCGUUGGAUGUGGAUGGUGGCGAAACACACCGGAACAAGAGAAGGCGGCUGAACUAAAGCUAAGAAGGCCGAACCGAGUAUUGCAGAGGCUUCAAUGUUGCUCCAGUUUUUACGGUUCGCUCUUCUCAAUGAGCCCAUUUUAUCUCUUUGGGCACUAUAUGCUGAGUGUGAUCAAAGUCUUCCUCUUCUGCUUGGUUAAUAGGGUGCUGUUUAGUUGUUUGUUUGUUUAGUUCCUCCCAUGUUUAAUUUAUGCUAUUACUUUAGACAUGCAUACCAAGGAAACCUGAGAGAUUGUCACCAGAUGAAUUUUCCUUGAUCGUAAAGCAGAUGUGUACUAUAUGGGAUCAACUUCUAGUGUCAUAAAUAAUGAACUGUCACUUGAGUCUCGGUUGUAGAUGGCUGAAGUGAAAAUGUAAAACUGAGCUGAUAUUUAGUCCAUUGGAGUGAAUGAACGCGAAGUACUAAACAAUGUUGUCACUUUACUGGUUGAAUGCCAAGUAAGGGUCUCUGUUGUCGGUUUACUGGAUGAAUGCCAAGUAACGAACUCUGUUGUCGUUCUACUCUUUUGCAGCUGCCCUGCUGUUGUUCUUGCUACUGGGCAAAGAGGUAUGUUAAGUCGCAAUAAAGAAGAAAAGCAUUCCCUUUCCUUUUAUGAUAAUCUCAUCUUUGUUCUUGGUUGAUGUUUCCGAUGUGGAUCGUGAAAUACAUUGGUUGACGUUUCCGAUGUGUCAAGUCGCAAUAAAGAAGGAAAGCAUUUCCUUUUAUGAUAGAUAAUCACAUAUCAUGACUCAAACACUACUAUCUAUGUUCAGGAUCGUAUAUUGGGGGAUGUGGUAAUGGAUUUACGAUCGAUGUUUGUGUGAUUCAUUGCCCUUUUUUGAGCUGGUUACGCUCUGUCGACCCGUCUUGGUUGUCCUCCAAAUUUAGUGACCAGUUUUAACUAUACAGGAAAGUAGGCUUAGGCAUGCUCUCAUUUGAUACCAUUUGCAUUCCCAUAGUCGUUCAUCUGUUGUGCAAUGCCAUUUCUGUUUUGGAGCAAGGUUGGACACUAGCACUGGAAUGAUAACAUUACCUGUGACUUGCUACUUAUUGUUGUGCUUGUGAUUCAGGGCUGGUGCCCUCAUGAUGGAGUUGGGCAUUCUGUCCCGUUCAGCAGUCACAGUUAUCAUAUCCACAGGUGACCUAAAACAUCCACCACUAGGUUAGUUUAGUACUUCCUCCGUUCACUUUUAUAAGUCGUUUUAGACAAGUGAAAUUGAGCUGUUUUGCAUGGUGUCUGAAACAUCUACAAAGCCUUAUAAAAAUGAACAGAGGGAGUAGAACUGAUUCCAUCACUUGUCAAGACCCCACAAUAUAUGACCCCGUGCUUGUUGACAUUAUGGCAGUGCAGUCUACAGAUGUCUGCUGUCGCAGCCGGCUGCUCUCCGUAUCUAGCAGCAUUGCAGCUGCACUGUUACACACCCCUCGUUUGAGUGAGAUCGUAUGUAUGCAUGAUCCUUCCUUAUCUUGCUCCUGUCCUUUCACAUGCGGGGUGACAUGACACGGCCACCAACCGUCCCACCUGCCGGCCAGGCAGAUCGUCCCCGGCCCUGCCGCCCCGUCGCAGGAUUUUCUGCUGCGCCCGCUUGGAAUCCGGAUCUUGCCUCGCCAGUGGAUCGCCGUGGACGGCACCGGCGAGGGCACGCGGGCGGGCACAGGCAGCGUCAACAUACUCACUGCUGAGGCUGCAGUGCCGUCUGAUUUGCCCACGUUGAAUAGCAGCGUCGUCAGAGGCAAUGCGGCCUGCGGCGUGCCCUGUGUUGUGCAUCCUUGGUUCCUCCGUUGAAUCUUACGUACUGCUCGAGAGAGUGGCUUCUGUUUUCUGUGUAGUCCAACAAUUGUUGCACACCUCCAUAAGGCACUGCCAGCAUGAAGAAUACGAUGGACGGAAUAUGAUUUUGUCGAUCACAUUCCCUGACGAGGUCCAAAUCCCAAUCCCAGUGGCGUUUCGGUUGGGACGUCCAUCAGCGCGCAGCCUUCACCAUUCCUGCACGCAGCCUUCACCAUUCCUGCACGCAGCCUUCACAAAUUCCGCCGGGCCGCGGCCAGAACAAAAUAUCUGGCAAUCACCAUCAGCAAAGGAAAAACAGAGGGAGCAAAAGAUCUGGCCGCUACUCCGGGCCUGGCCUCCCCCUUGGCACGGGAGGACGCGAGCGGAAUCUCGCCUCCGGAGCACACCAGACCGAGAGAGCAAGCGAUGGAAGCGGCACGGACGAAACCGAGUCAGAUCUCCGAUCUGGCACGCCGACGACGCAUCCAGGGGCACCGCCUGCGCGCGCGCUCCAUGCCUCCAUCCGUGGGGACGUGUAUUCCCGGCACGCACGUUGUAAUCUCUUUGCUGCGCCCACAUGUCACCACAGCGCACCUGCUCCGCUCUCACGUCCGGGUGGGGGUGGGUGGGUGGAGCCGCCGCCCUCACCCACGCGCCGCGCGGCUCUCCUCUCCUCUCCUCCUCCUGAUCCGAGCAGCACGAACCGUCUGCGGCGGGCGGGCGGUGGGCUCGCCGAAGCAUGAAUGCACGACGGUCAGCGUCCUGCCCCAGCUGGACGGCCAAGAUUGUGUUGGCCGCCACGUAUGGGUGAUGAGUGUACGCACAAUUGACCAGCUACCGUACGUCUCGACCCUGACGUACAACGCACGGAUGAAUAACCGUGCACGCAGCGAGUCAUGGCCAGGGAUCUGCCUAACUCGCAAAAACGGAAUGCUAAACGUGAAUUAGAAGGUCAAGGCAAUGUCAAAUUCCUCUUGGAGUAUAGAAUUGGCUGAGCCGUGGGGCCCACGUGGAAACCCAAUCUUGGGCUCAAAGCGGAUAAAUCUAAUUUUUCGUCCGGCAAAAGAGAUCACUUUGGCUAAGCCCUACGUAUUACUAGAUGGACUGCUGUGAAAAGAUUUGGAUUGAAUUUCGUUUUUAAAUUAAAUUUAGAUAGAAUAAAAAGGAAAAAAUGAAACAAAAAAGAAAAAUAAAAAUAAGAGAAGAGAAAAAGCUUACCUAGUCUACCUACAACCCGACGCACGACACUCUAGCCUACUAAAGCAGUAAGAGCAUCUCCAGCCGUUAAGCCCCUCAGGAGACACUUUUUUCGCCGCUUGGGGGGCUGCCGGCAAUUUUUUUUGCCUGGGGUUGAGAAAAUAUCCACUCGUUGAGCCUCCCAGCAUGCAAGCCCGACGACGCGGCGGCCAGCGCGUGACUACGCAGGCACCGCGGCCAACGCACGCAAGCAUGCGGCAGCGGUGGCUAGCCCGGCCAGCACGCGACGGUUGCGGCCAGCGGGCAAGCUUGUGCACGCCUGUGCGGCUGCGGAGCCCGGCCAACACGCCCGCGAGGUCGCAGCUAGCACACCGCGGGCAACGCACGCAUGCACGCGGCGGACAGCCCGGCCAGCACGCGGGGAGCAGGCCNNNNNNNNNNNNNNNNNNNNNNNNNNNNNNNNNNNNNNNNNNNNNNNNNNNNNNNNNNNNNNNNNNNNNNNNNNNNNNNNNNNNNNNNNNNNNNNNNNNNNNNNNNNNNNNNNNNNNNNNNNNNNNNNNNNNNNNNNNNNNNNNNNNNNNNNNNNNNNNNNNNNNNNNNNNNNNNNNNNNGCAGCGCCCACCUCCGAGCACCGCCCGUCAUCCGUGGCCACCGCGGCCACGCCGGACUCUUCGCGCCGGGGCCCAGGAGCAGCAGCAGGACGCCGGCCAGGGCGAGCAGCGCCACCGCGAUGCCCAGCGGGGAGCUCACGUCCGGUGACACGCCGACGCCAUCGAGCAGCGGGCCCUGCAGCCGCCAUGUCCGCCACGUCGUCCUCGUCCUCGGCCAUGCCAUGGGGCUGGAGCUCGACCCUGACCCAGCUGCUGCCUAUACGUCCGGCGAGGGCGCCGUGGAGUGCGCGGGCAGAGACGGCCCACUCCGGCCGCGCGCGCGAGCCCCGCCCCGGCCAUGCUCCGCUCCGGCCCCGCGAUGAGAAAGGAGAGAGAGGAGAAAGAAAAGAGAGUAAGGAGAGGAGAGAGGGGAGAGUGAGGGGCUGGCAAGUGGGCCGAUGCAUGCGAAAAAGAGCGUCGGCGCCCCCAGCUGCACCCCAGCUUUCUGGGUUUGAGUUGAGACCGUCGGGCGUAUUUUCAGCAAAAUCCGGCGCUUUUUGAGCUUUUGAGGGCAUGACCGCGGGAAAACGCGCGCCGGCGAUGGAAAAGGCAUGUACAAUGAUUGAUGAGAUAGUUUUAUCUUAAGUCAUGCAUGUAAUUUAGAGAUGAUAAAAAACAUGUCUAUAAUGGAUCAUCUUUUAACCUUAUAUUCAAUAAGGGCAUGUACAAUGGUGCUAUCUUAGAAGUGCCAUGUAGAAUAAAUGAUGAGGUGAAGAAGAGAGAACUCAUAAAAAAAGGUUUGUCUCUUUUAAGACAAAAGAUAAUCUCUUAGCACAAUAUGUCUCAUCAUAUUUUUAGAAAUAGCUAGUUAUUAAAGAUAAGGCUAAGAGAUGACCUAUUAUAGACAAUUAGGGGCUGUUUGGUUUUAGGACUAGUAUUGCCACACUUUGUCACGCGUUUUUGCCAAACUUGACUAAGGUUAGUUCAUCAAAAUGAGAGCCACAAGUUGGCAAGCCUAAGGAAAUCUUGCCACACUUUUUGUGUGUAUGCCAUGUGGGGUUCAAGUGUGGCUUUCCUAAGAUGUGGCUUGAACCAAACACUCACCUAAGUUGAUUAAAUUUGCCUAACCUUAGAUGUGGCAAUCUUUGGCAAAGUUAGUCACAAAUCAAACAGCCCUUUAGUCUUCAGAGCUCUAGAGCAACAAAUUAUGCAGUUUUCUAGCAGCAAAUAGUUCGCUGCCCUCGUUUCCCAGUUCGGCAGGUUCACCUAAACCAGGGUAAACAUCGGGCCGGGCGGAGCUUGUAAAAGCCCGACCUUCAUUUCUCAAGCCUGACCCAGCCCAAAGUCCGAAAUACUCACUGUUUUCAAGCCUGAGCUCAACCCAAAGCCCAAAAGCCCAGCCAAAAAUACAAAAAAAGAGAAGCCCAAGCCUGGCCCAAACUAUCUUCCAGGCUGCAAAACAAGGCCCAAGCCUGGCCUGAAUGUCAGGCCCAGCCCCGCCCAGGUUUUUCAGGCCGGGCUGUCCAUGCCAGGGUACCCUUAGAUGUAUUUUCUGCGUUUGAAACGGGCAGUAUUUGAUCGAAGCAGCACACACAAACGCUUGCCAAAUAGGCUCGCAAAUCACAAGAUAAGUGGGUGAUACAGAGUCACAGUAGCGCCAAUAUUUCUCGUCCGCCUAAAUUAUUGUUCUAUCCACCAUCGCAGCAUCGGUAUUUCAGUUACACAGGCAUGUCCACGACAAUCACUAGUGUUAAAAGGGAAGCGAACUGAACCCUUCCGGAAGAUGUGCAAAAACGCCGAACAGCACGUGAGAUAUUCCAGGCUCCUCGGUGCCCAAAACAAGGCUGAAAACACAAAUGCGCUUGUCCAGCAGGUACUCGUCGAGAAAGAAAAGAGCAGAAGGGGGCCGACGAGGCAAAACACUUGGCGGCAGGUCUCUACUAG
rnacentral:lncRNA from 1 species